rnacentral:lncRNA from 1 species
AAAACCAAACUUACAAUUAUACACAACCAAAAAGGGCCAAAACCAACAGAAAACAAGAAAGGGGCCCCACAACACUGAAGCCCAAAAAAACACAGAACAACCAACCGAGAAGCUUCUACUGAAAUCUCCUCCACCGACAGAGAUCCAAGCCAGCCACCGGAAACGUCAUCCAUCACCGAGCAUCGCCGCCUCAGACAACACCGCCAACCCCGAACAGCAACCAGAUCACAGCCAUUAACAGGAGAUAAUUGGCACCAAACAGGGAUUACAUUGGAGUUGCAUAGUACGAACAAUUCGGACUUAUUACAUUGAGGUUACAUGUCACUUACAUGCGAAAUUUAGUAUGACAGUAUCACGAUACGAGGAUAAACCAAUUUAACAUUUGAUUUCUCUCCUCCCACAUUUUCCUUUCACUAUGUCUUAUCGAAACUCAAACAUCUUGCAUUGGCAUCGCCCUCAAAUGCUCGGCCUCACGUUAAGACGAGACGCCAGUUUUUGACCAAAGGAUCGGUCAGCCUGCAUUUCAAUUACCACCAGCACACGUCAUAUUCCCGUACGAAAUCACAUCCAACUAUUACCAAUUCACAAAUGCGAAUACUUUGCAAGUAUGCACUCACCUGAGACCAGUAUGAGAUCCAAAUGCUGCGAAUUUCAUGGGUGACACGAGGUUCGGAUAGGACAUCAACCCAUCGGUGGAGGAAUCGCUCUUGCCUGCAAUGAACAUUUAGAUUAUGAAAAUGACGUUUAAAUACAUAUAUUUUCCACAUAGAGACAUCAUAGGGUUGGCAGCUACCUGUCGGGUGCCCAAGAUCUGUAUCUCUCUCCAGGUUGCUUGAAGUUGUUCUCCUUCUCAAUGACGCACUGCAUAUCCAACCAAACCACCAUACACAAAUUAAACGCAAAGUUGCUACAUGAAUCAUGAUGUGCAGUACUCCAAAAGGAUUCAGACAUGCAACAAGCAUUCGUGCAUGGCUCUAACUUUUUACAUUCCAAGUGCCUUCAAGUUUCACAUAAAUAGAAAAACACAGAAAACAAGAACAUGGGGAAAACUAAGGGAAAUUAAAAUGAAUUCUUUUACAGUGAUACAAACUGACCUUCUCACGCUUUCCAGUGCAGAUAUUAGAAGGAAUUGGGAAGGUCUCAGCAUGGCGAGCAGGAUCAUACCUUGAUGGGAAGUAAUUAACCUACAGAACAGUAUGGCAUCUAAGCAGAGAAAACUUCGAUGAACAAAAAGCAAAAAUUGAAGUACAUGUCUGAAUCUUGGUCAAUGCAAGUGUAAAAAGACACAAAGGCAUUCAAUAAGCCUCAACAAUCGAGGGAAAAAGUGGUAUUAUACUUGGAAAGGAAAUUCUAAAAAGCAAAAGUACCUCCUCAUCCCUAUGCAUGAAAUUCAUAAAUCCUUCAUGGUGAUUGUUGUGUGAUGAGAACACUUGGGAGCAUUAACUGGGAGCUGCAAAUAGUUCGGGCCAAGACGGUGCCUCUGAGUAUCAGAAUAGGAGAAGAUUCGAGUUUGGAGCAACUUAUCAUCUGAAUAGUAGACACCAGGGACAACAAUGGCAGGGCAGAAAGCAAGUUGUUCAUUCUCUGCAAAGAAGUUAUCAAUGUUCUUAUUCAGUACCAAACGGCCAACCGGCUGCAGGGGAAGAAUAUCUUCAGGCCAGGUCUUAGUAACAUCAAGUGGGUCAAAGUCAAAUCUGUCUUCUUGAUCAGGAUCAAUUGUCUGAAUAAAAAGUUUCCACUCCGGGUAGUUGCCAGCUGCGAUGGAGUCAUAGAGAUCCUUGGUAGCGUGGCUGUGAUUAGCUCCUCCAACCUUAAUAGCCUCAUCCUCCAACAAACACUUGACUCCACAAGUGGGUUUCCAAUGAAAUUUCACGUAGUGUGCCUUCCCGGCCUUACUGAUAAGAGUAUAGGUGGUUAACACCAGACCCUUCCAUGUGCCUGUAAUCUUGUGGAACUCCCAGGUCAUCCAACAGGAAGGUGAACAUGUGGAGGCUUUCUGGAUGGUGGGAGAAGAAGUCAAGGAUCCUCCAAUUCUCUUGGAUGUGGGACUUAGGGUUUGGUUUGAGAGCAUGGACCAUGUCCGGGAAUUUCAUUCCAUCGCGGACAAAAAAGAUGGGGAAAUUGUUUCCCACCAAAUCAAAAUUACCCUGUUUAAGAAAAAUAAAGUCACGAGCAUGGGUAAAGAAAGGAAUGCAUGUAUAAACAAGCAAAAACAUUAGGACCAAAUGAUUUCCAAGAGUUAGUUAAUAAUAAUGUUACAAAGAAAUCAACAAUCUGUAGAAUCAAAACAAUAUUUAAAAAAUAAAAUAAAAGGAUGAAUGCCAUAUUUCAUGGAAGUCACAACACUACUGGGUUUAGUUAAAUAUGACUAAAGUACUUGUCACUGGAGCUGUGACUAGAGAUACCACCGCAUAUUUUUAACUACAAAUAUGCUGUUGAAUAUAAUUAUGAUCAGCGACGUGUGAAACUCAACUAUCAUUAUCCAGAGGUCAUAAAAGAUCAAUAAGCCAUUGAAACCUCACCUCUCUGGUGUAAAACUUCACCGCAAAACCACGAGGAUCCCUCAGGGUUUCAGGGCUGCCACGCUCAUGGAUAACAGUGGAGAAACGCACAAUGACAGGUGUCUGAACUCCAGGGGCUCGAAGGAAGUCAGCACAUGUAAGGUGAGAAAUAUCAUGGGUGACCUCAAAGAAACCUUUUGCACUGGCUCCCCUAGCAUGGACAACACGCUCUGGGAUCCGUUCUCUAUCAAAAUUGGCGAGUUUCUCCACCAGAUGGUAGUCCUCGAGCAGAAUUGGACCUGACAAGUAGACAAAGAAUUAAAUUCUUAACUGCAUCUACUCAACUCGACAUAAUCAACCAUCCCGAUUACAUGCAAAAGAUGUGAUAAGAAUGAAACUAGCGGUUAUACAUUUUAUAAAGUAUGUCAAAUAUAGAUGACUGCUAUCACUUGCAAAGAUAGUAACUUUUAUUUAGUUUCAGGCAACCAGACGAUCAAAAAAUCUAUCUUGACAACCUGAGAGGCAAAGAAAAAAAGGGACCGGCAGGAAUUCAUUGAAAACCAACAGACUGGGAACUAUAGUUGAGAAAUUUAAACAUAAAUGCCGAAUAGGGAAAGUUCUAACUUCAAAAACAAACUAUAUAAAUAAGUAAAUAUAUAUAAAUAUAUAUCAGAAAAACAACAAGAGUUUCAAAAUAGCAAUCAUCUUCAACUUGGUAGUGAUACAAACAUCCAAAAAGUCAUCUUGUAGUUCACAAUAACAUGGACAGAAUAUCGAUGCAUACACAGAUUACAGCAUCAAAACAUGAUUAUGAUUAUUCACAAGGUGCUCGAGAAGCGAUGUGCAACUAAAAAACCACAAAAAGGUAAAACUUGAAGAAAAUUUGCAAUUGAAAAUCCGUCAAAAGCAAAUAAACAAAUAGAUAAAUCAAAAGUGGAUUAAGAAUUAAAUCACCUCUCGGUCCAACAGUGAGAGAAGAGUUGUUGUUCCAAACUGGAGCACCGGAAUUGGUGGUCCAGAACGGGGAAUUGAAAGCACUUGAAGGGCGGUGCUGCAACACACACGAAAACAAACCAACCCAAAACCAUUAGAGAGGGCUUUGUUUGGUGGCCGAGAAAAUAAACAAGAAAAGUAAUUCAACAAGAAAAUCAAACUUAAAUCAAUCAAAUUAAGAGCAUAAACAAGUAAAAAAGAAAAAACCCCAGAAAGAUUAAGAUUAAGAUUAGCGUGUUACCCUGUAAGGAUCCAUGGAGGAAGGUCGGGUUAGAGAGAGAGCUUGAUGGAGAAGGUAAGAGGUGAGCAGAGGAAGGGGGUAAGCCACUCACUCACUCAGAUGGGGCAAUCGAAGGCUGAAAUGUAAGCAAAUUUGGUGGAUUUAUAAACGCUGACUUUCGGCUUUGGGUAUGGGUCGUGGGCGUGGCUCACGCUUUUGUGUGAAAUUUCCAUUUUCCGCUCUCGGCCUCACGUUAUCUUUAUCCACACACACACACAGCUGGAAGGUCACUACGUAUCUUUGCCAAUUUAUCGUCACUACAUAUCUUUGCCUAUAAACUACGUACGCAUCCGCAUGGCUAUAAAAGUAUGACUACACAACAUCUCGCAUAGAAACAGUGAAAAUCGGUGCCUGCAACCGGCACUUGUUACAUUUUUUUUUUGGAAAAAGUUUGACUGUAGUAAAACUACGUCAAAACUUCCUCAACUUUUAUUAAACAAGUCCAAAAUUACAAGUAAACAAGAAACCCAACUUACAAUUAUACACAAUCAAAAAGGACCGAAACCAACAGAAAACAAGAAAGAGGCCCCACAACAAUGAAGCCCCAAAAAAAACACAGAACAACCAACCGAGAAGCUUCUGCUGAAAUCUCCUCCACCGACAGAGAUCCAAGCCAGCCACCGGAAACGUCAUCCAUCACCGAGCAUCGCCGCCUCAGACAACACCGCCAACCCCGAACAGCAACCAGAUCACAUCCAUUAACAGGAGAUAAUUGGCACCAAACAGGGAUUACAUUGGAGUUGCAUAGUACGAACGAUUCGGACUUAUUACAUUGAGGCUACAUGUCACUUACAUGCGAAAUUUAGUGUGACAGUAUCACGAUACUCAAAACAUCUUGCAUUGGCAUCGCCCUCAAAUGCUCGGCCUCACGUUAAGACGAGACGCCAGUUUUUGACCAAAGGAUCGGUCAGCCUGCAUUUCAAUUACCACCAGCACACAUCAUAUUCCAGUACGAAAUCACAUCCAACUAUUACCAAUUCACAAAUGCGAAUACUUUGCAAGUAUGCACCCACCUGAGACCAGUAUGAGAUCCAAAUGCUGCGAAUUUCAUGGGUGACACGAGGUUCGGAUAGGACAUCAACCCAUCGGUGGAGGAAUCGCUCUUGCCUGCAAUGAACAUUUAGAUUAUGAACAUGACGUUUAAAUACAUAUAUUUCCACAUAGAGACAUCAUAGGGUUGGCAGCUACCUGUCGGGUGCCCAAGAUCUGUAUCUCUCUCCAGGUUGCUUGAAGUUGUUCUCCUUCUCAAUGACGCACUGCAUUUCCAACGAAACCACCAUACACAAAUUAAACGCAAAGUUGCAAUAUGAAUCAUGAUGUGCAGCGCACCAACAGGAUUCAGAAAUGCAACAAGCAUCCAUGCAUGUAUCUAACUUUUUACAUUCCAAGUGCUUUCAAGUUUCAAGUAAAAAAGAAAAUGAGAAAUUAGGUUCUCAUCCUUCAUUUUACUAUUUCAUUGAUUAAAAUUCUAUUUAUUUUUAAUUUUUUAUCAAGAUCCUUGGUAUUAAUAAUAUCAUUAAUUAUUUCAAUACUAAAAUAUUUUUUAUUUCUAAAUAUAUUCAUUUAAUGUUAAAAUGUUACAAUUAGUAUAUUUAUAUUUAUGACUAAAUUUUUUAUCAUAUAUUUUUAGUUUUAGUUUGUACCCUUUUUAAUUUGUAAUUCUUUUUUAAUUUGUUCUAAUUUUCUUUUCAAUUUUAAUUUGUACCCAUAUAUUAAUUUUUUUUUGUGCCCAUAUUUUUUAAAGUUUAUUUUUAUUUGUACCCAUAUUUUUUUUUAUACUUUUUAUUUUGCUAAAUGUACCCAUGCUAAUUAUAUGUACCCAUUCAUGUAAAACUUUUUAAUCUUAAAAUGUACUCAUUCUUAAAUAUACCAAUUUGUUAUAUGUAAAAUGUACCAUUUUUUAUAUAUAAUCUAUUCAAUGUUUUAAAUCCAUUUUUAAACUUAUAUGGGUACAUUCUUUUUUCUUUGAUUUUAAAAUGUAUCCAUGUCAAGUUUAAUCGAAGCAAUUUACUAAUGUUAUUAAGUCUAAUAUCUUUUUUUUUUGUUGUGAUUUUGAAGAAUGUACCCAUGUUUUGAUACAAUCAUUUUUUUGGUUAAUUUUGUUGAAUGUACCCAUGUUUAUAUAUAUGGGCACACAAUAGUAUAUUUAUAUUUUACUAUUUUUAAUCCCACAAAUUAUAGUUUUUUUUAUUUAAAAUCUCAUUUAUAUAAACUAAAAUUUCAAAUUUUUAAUUUAAAAAAUAUAGUAACAUACAUAGAAAUAAAUUAUCGCAUUGAUUUCAAGAACCUCAAUCAAAAAUUAAAAACCAACAAUUUUUAAAUCAAAGAAUAUUCAUAGUUAAGGACCGCAUCCAAAGUCUCCCGGAGAAAUUAGGUUCUAAUCCUUCAUUUUACUAUUUCAUUGAUUAAAAUCCUAUUUCUUUUUAAUUUUUUAUCAAGGUCCUUGGGUAUUAAUAAUAUCAUUAAUUAUUUCAAUAAUAAAUUAAUUUUUAUUUCUAAAUAUAUUCAUUUAAUGUUUAAAAUGUUACAAUUAGUAUAUUUAUAUUUAUGAUUAAAUUUUUUAUCAUAUAUUUUUAGUUUUAGUUUGUACCCAUUUUUAAUUUGUAAUUCUUUUUUAAUUUGUACCAAUUUUCUUUUCAAUUUUAAUUUAUAUCCAUAUAUUAAUUUCUUUUUGUGCCCAUAUUUUUUAAAGUUUAUUUGUAUUUGUACCCAUAUAUUUUUUUUAUUUAUACUUUUUAUUUUGCUAAAUGUAUCCAUGCUAAUUAUAUGUACCCAUUCAUGUAAAACUUUUUAAUCUUAAAAUGUACUCAUUCUUAAAUAUACCAAUUUGUUAUAUGUAAAAUGUACCAUUUUUUUAUAUAUAAUCUAUUCAAUGUUUUAAAUCCAUUUUUAAACUUAUAUGGGUACAUUCUUUUUUCUAUGAUUUUAAAAUGUAUCCAUGUCAAGUUUCAUCGAAGAAAUUUACUAAUGUUAAGUCUAAUAUCUUUCUUCUUUUUUUUUGUGAUUUUGAAGAAUGUACCCAUGUUUUGAUACAAUAAUUUUUUUGGUUAAUUUUGUUGAAUGUACCCAUGUUUAUAUAUAUAUAUAUAUAUACACACACAAUAGUAUAUUUAUAUUUUAAUAUUUUUAAUCCCACAAAUUAUGGUUUUUUUAUUUAAAAUCUCAUUUAUAUAAAUAAAUAAAAUUUCUAAUUUUUAAUUUAAAAAAUAUAGUAACAUACAUAGAAAUAAAUUAUCAUAUUGAUUUCAGGGAUCUCAAUCAAAAAUUAAAAACCAACAAGAUUUCAAUAAAAAAAUAUUCAUAGUUAAGGACCGCAUCCAAAGUAUCCUAAAAGAAAAACACAGAAAACAAGAACAUGGGAAAACUAAGGAAAUUUAAAUGAAUUAUUCUACAUUGAUACAAACUGACCUUCUCACGCUUUCCAGUGAAAAUAUUAGAAGGAAUUGGGAAGGUCUCAGCAUGGCGAACAGGAUCAAACCUUGAUGGGAAGUAGUCAAUCUACAGAAAACAGUAGGGCAUCUGAGCAGAGAAAACUUUGAUGAACAAACAAGUGAAAAUUUAAGUAGACGUCCGAAUCUUGAGCAACGCAAGUGUAAAAAGGGUAAAAGGCAUUCAAUAAGCGUCAGCAAUUGAGGGGGAAAGUGGUAUUGCACUUGGAAAAGAAAAUCAUAAGAGCAAAAGUACCUCCUCAUCUCUGUGCAUGAAAUUCAUAGAUCCGUCAUAGUGAUUGUUGUGAUGAGCACACUUGGGAGCAUUAACUGGGAGCUGCAGAUAGUUGGGGCCAAGACGGUGCCUCUGAGUAUCAGAAUAGGCGAAGAGUCGAGUUUGGAGCAUCUUAUCAUUUGAAUAAUAGAUACCAGGGACAACAAGGGCCGGGUUGAAAGCAAGUUGUUCAUUCUCUGCAAAGAAGUUAUCAAUGUUCUUAUUCAGUACCAAACGGCCAACAGGCUGCAGGGGAAGAAGAUCUUCGGGCCAGGUCUUAGUAUCAUCAAGUGGGUCAAAGUCAAAUCUGUCUUCAUGAUCAGGAUCCAUUAUCUGAAUAAAAAGUUUCCACUCCGGGUAGUUGCCAGCUUCAAUUGAGUCAUAGAGAUCCUUGGUAGCGUGGCUGUGAUUAGCUCCUCCAACCUUAAUAGCCUCGUCCUCCAACAAACACUUGACUCCACAAGUGGGCUUCCAAUGAAAUUUCACGUAGUGUACCUUCCCGGCCUUGCUGAUAAGAGUAUAGGCGUGUACACCAAAGCCUUCCAUGUGCCUGUAAUCUUGUGGAACUCCCACGUCAUCGAAUAGGAAGGCGAACGUGAGCAGGCUUUCUGGAUGGUGAGAUAAGAAGUCAAGGACCCUCCAAUAUUCUUGGAUGUGGGACUUAGGGUUCGGUUUGAAAGCAUGGAUCACGUCCGGGAAUUUCAUUGCAUCACGGACAAAAAAGACGGGGAAAUUGUUUCCCACCAAGUCCCAAUUACCCUGUUUAAGAAGAACAAGGUGACAACAUGAGUAAAGUAUUUGUCACUGGAGCUGCCUGUGACUAGAGAUACCACUGUGUAUUUUUUACUAUAAAUAUGUUGUUGAAUAUAAUAUGAUCAUCGACGUGUCAUUAUCCCGAGGUUAUAAAACAUGAAUAAGCCAUUGAGACCUCACCUCUCUGGUGUAAAACUUCACUGCAAAACCACGAGGAUCCCUUAUGGUUUCAGGGCUGCCACGCUCAUGGAUAACAGUGGAGAAACGCACAAUGACAGGUGUCUGAACUCCAGGGGCUCGAAGGAAGUCAGCACAUGAAAGGUGAGAAAUAUCAUGAGUGACCUCAAAGAAACCUUUUGCACUGGCUCCCCUAGCAUGGACAACACGCUCUGGGAUCCGUUCUCUAUCAAAGUUGGCGAGUUUCUCCACCAGAUGGUAGUCCUCAAGCAGAACCGGACCUGACAAAUAGACAAAGAAUUAAAUUCUUAACUGCAUCUACUCAACUCGACAUAACCAACCAUCCCGAUCACAUGCAAAAGUCAGAGAAGAGUUAAAUCACCUCUGGGUCCUACAGUGAGAGAAGAGUUGUUGUUCGAAACUGGAGCACCGGCAUUGGUGGUCCAGAACGGGGAAUUGAAAGCACUUGAAGGGCGGUACUGCAACAACACACAAAAACAAACAAACCCAAAUCCAUGAGAGAGGGCUCUCUUUGGUGGCCGAGAUAAUAAACAAGAAAAUCAAACUUAUAAAAAAAAAAUUCAAAGUAAGAGCAUAGACAAGCAAAAGAGAAAAACCCCAGAAAGAUUAAGAUUAAGAUUAGAGUAGUGCCUUGUAAGGAUCCAUGGAGGAAGGUCAGGUUAGAGAGAGAGAGAGCUUGAUGGAGAAGGUAAGAGGUGAGCAGAGGAAGGGAGUAAGCCACUAGCUCAGAUGGGCAAUCGAAGGCUGAAAUGCAGGCAAAUUUAUAAUGGUGCUCCCACUUUUGUGUGAAAUUACCAUUUCCAGCUCUCGGCCCCACGUUAUCUUUAUCCACACACAGCUGGAAGGUCACUACAUAUCUUCUCUACAAUUUGUAGUCACGAGUCGGAAUGAUUAUUGAGAGAGAGCGAGGUGGAAGAAUUCAAUGUGAAUAAUUGAGAACGACAAGCAUUCACCGUUCUUUAUCCUAUUUAGAAAUUUUUAAUUGUGACCGGAAUACACAACCACUGAUGCCGGGUGACACUGUCCGCUCCUACAACGACGCCACGUAUACUAUAAACACUUUGAAACGUGUACUCUUUGAAAUUACAUAAAGACUAAUCCGAUUCUCGGAUAUGCUUUGAAGACUUGAAUUAGAAUAUUUUGGUGGUUUAUUAGAGGCAUCUCUUGAAGAUUUAUAUAAAAGAGUAAAUAGUCUCUUAACUUUAACCUAAUUGUAACUAUAGUCCUUCAAACAUAAUUCAUUUUGACAAAAUUCUGACGAAAAUGACCAUAACUACACGUUUUGAUGAGUUGAGGGACCAAUGACAAUGAAUUUUUAGUUGAGGGACUAUUCCUACAAUUUACUCUAUAUUAAACAAUCAAAACUCUUAGAAUGGAUUUUUAAUGGGUCAGAAAUAUGGUUCUGUACACCAAGUAUCAUUAUAUUAUGAGAUAUUUUCUGUCAAUUAAUAAUAUUAUGACACUAGUAGAUUGAACCGUGUUCUCGACAUACUGAAAUGUUUAUACUAUUUUAAAAGGUUAAAUUUAGCGACAUAGUAUUACUGUCUAAUGGUAUUCCUCCUCACUUGUAAGUGAGAGGUCUUAAGCUCAAUUUUCGUUAUAUGAGGCUAAGCCCAUCUUCUCUCUUCUAAUAUUGAUAAUAUCGUUUGUUAAAAAAAAAAUCUCUAAUAAAUGUUGUAAAAGACUAUUUAAUUAUAGCAAAGGAGCAAUCAUUUUUGGAAUUUAGGAAGCAAUAUUCACUUGUUAAAUAUUAAAAAAUAAAUAAAACUAGUGGAGUUUUUUGUUUUUUUAUGAAACAAGUAGAUUGGGUUUGUUAAUAUUAAAAUAUUCAAAGUCUGUUAAAAUUUCGGCAUAAAAAGUUAAGCUGAGUAGCUACUAUAAUUUUUUUGAUACAGUUCACUUGCUCGUUUAACAAAAAUUUAGUGCUUUCUCUUAAAGAUGCUCUUAGCUAGUUUUUACAAAAACAAACAAUAUCACUUUGUACUACAAUUUAUUGAUACUUUUGUUAAUUAUAAAGAAGGAGUAUUAGUUUCGACUUCCGUAGAUGACGAGUUAACAGUAAAUUUUCUUAACUGACUCAUUGUGUAAAAUAACAUAAUGACCGUCACAUCCUGGCCCAGGCCCCCACCACAUCCUAGGUUAGCACGAUAUUGUCCGCUUUUGGCCCCUACCACGCCCUCGCGGUUUUGUUUAUGGGAACUCACGCGAGAACUUCCUGGUGGGUUUAUGGGAACUCACGCGAGAACUUCCCGGUGGGUCACCCAUUCUGGGAUUACUCUCGCGUGAACUCGCUUAACUUUAGAGUUUUGAUGGAACCCGAAACCAGUGAGCUCCCAAAAGGCCUCGUGCUAGAUAGAGAUGAGAAUAUAUAUAUAUAUAUAUAAUAUAUAUAUAUAUAGGCAAUACACUAUGUUAUCCACCUAGUGAAUAGUAACUGCAUUUUGCAUCUCUACCGUUGCACUUCAAUAGCCCUGUCAAUAGGCAAUAAGAUAUUAGUAUUUUUUUAUUUAUAAAAUAAUUUUAUUUGUAAUUCGGAUAAGAUUUUUAAUCGUUUUCAUUGCACCACGUGUCAUAAAAUCCGAAAAGACAAUUAUCGGUGAUGGAUUUCCAAUAAAAUUUUUAAUCGUUCUCGUUGCGCCACGUAUCAUUAUCCGAAAAGUUAUAAAAUAAUACAAAAUAAUUUUAUUUGUAAUUUCGGAUAAGAUUUUUAAUUGUGCGCCACGUGUCAUAAAAUCCAAAAAGAUAAUUAUUGGUGAUGGAUUUCCGAUAAGAUUUUUAAUCGUACUUGUUGCGCCAUGUGUCAUUUUUCGAAAAUACAAUUAUUGGUGAUGGAUUUUCGAUAAGAUUAUUAACCAAUCACGUCGCGCCAUGUGUCACAAUUUUUUAGGAUAGAUUUCCAUCAUUCUUGGAAGCACUCCCUUUUCUCUUUGAAGUCUUCUUACCUUGAGGCCUAAUUGGAUAACGGGUUGAUCCCGAAGCUUGUUCAGAGGGGCGCUUCAGACACUUCUUCUGCUUCAUCUUCAUGAACAUGCGAGGCAUGAUCGGGUGUAGAGUGUAGAGGGGUGUUGUUCAUGAAAACUUUUGGACCGACGUGUAUAACUUUGAAUUUAGGACAAUCUUUGACAAUAUUCUAACAUUCCCACCGGUUGAAUGAUUUAUUUUUACUUUUGGUUUUGGCACCAUAUCAAACUUGUGCUUGAAGUUGCUACACAAUGCGGGAUAAGAAAUAAUUAUAAUGAAAGUAGGUAACAAAUAAAUAAUGCAAACAAAUAAUUAUAAUGAAAGUAGGCAACAAAUAAAUAAUACAAACAAAUAAUUAUAAUGUAAAUUUGGGUAUAGUACAAACAAAUAAAUAAUAUAUUGUUACCUAAUCUGCGUAAUUUUCCCCACUUUGAAGAUUAGUACUAGCUUGUGUCAAUGCGUCUCUCCACGUACUAAACGAUUGGCUAAGUAAUUUCCAAUGACUGGACAUCGAUUCUUUGGUUCUUUUCCCACCCAUUUUCUCAAGAUAAUUGGUAUAAAUAAGACUCCACAUUUAUCGCAACUACAUCUCAUUAAGCGAACUAUGAGUAACUUCAACCCAGCUAGUACACAACGCAACAUCUUCAAUAAACAUCUAAUUCGUACCUGCAUCAGUAGUCAUUUUGUUGAAAAAAAAUUGGAUUGAAACUUUGAGAGAAAGAUAAGAAUGUGGUCGAAAGUAGUUGAGAAAAUAUAAAAUUGUGGUGCAAGGUAGAUGAUAAUGAGAAUGUAUUUAUAGAAAAGUAAAAACAAUUUUUGUUUUCGGAUUUUUAUUCAUUUUUUAUUCAACUAAUUAAUCUCUGCUGUUGGAUUUAAAAAAAAAUUGAAUUCCAACACUCCAGAUUGUGUCACGUGGCACAACGGUAACAUUUUUGAAUUUUAAAACUAUUUUUUCUUUUUUUAUUUAUUUAUAAAGAAGAAUAAUAUCAACCGUUGAUCUCAGAUCCAACGGUUGAUAUUAAAUAAGAUUUUUUUAAUUUUUUUUACCGUUGCAAAUUUGACGGUCCACAUUUUCUUGCCGUUGAGAUCCAAUGGACCAUGGGAAGCCAUCUGGCUUCCCAAUGGUAACAAUUUGAAACUGCGCCGCGGGCCCCAUUCGCUGAAAACAUGUCGGGUGACGCGCCCCCACGUGCGGGUGCAGUGCACACGCCUGAUAGAAAAAAUAUAAAAAAAGGAUGAUGCCUGGCGAUGUCAGCCUUGCGUCAGAUAGCCUUCGAGCUCGUGACAGGCCUGAUGCUCAGGCAUGCCCUGUCCUUUGGGCUCCCACACGCUGGAGUCCCCGGGCCGUAUUUGCUAGCAUGUCCCCCGAGCUCCAGCCAACGCUGGAAGUGCUCUUAGAGGAUCCACUCCCCUGGGUGAUGUGGGAUGUUACAAUGACCACUAGUAAUAUAAUUAUAUUAUCUUAAUAAAAAUUAAUUUAAUUUAUGUGUUUUUAAUUUGACUAAUUUAAUCCUCGUAUUAGCCUUCGUUAACUAAUCUAAGACAGUAUCCAUUCAUAAUUCUAUAAAACUUAAAUAAAAUUGAUUAUUACAAAAUAAAUUAAAAAUAAACACGAUAACCAAAUUGGCAAACUGACAACACAAAAACUAAAUGGGGCCAACACUAUAACCUAAAAAACUCCCAAAAAAUAAUAUUAGAAAAGUAGUGGACUUUCUAUAUUAGCACCUUACAAAAUAUUGAAUGCACCCCACAUUAAAAUUUAAUAUUAAAUGAUUUAUAUGCAAUGGCAAAUUUGACAUUAUUAGGUUAAAAAAAAAAUUCUAAAUACACCUCAAAUCAUUUUUAACAGAUUAUUGAUCUUCUUCAACUAUCCAAAAUCCCUUCGACGCUGCAUUGUUGAACAAAACCCUAACUAAUGAAACUACAAACAUGUUGAUUGAGAAAAAUUAUUUUUGACGAAUGAAACACAAAAUCAAUUUUUCGGAAGCUUCAAAUGAGGUAAGACUUCAUAUUUUUUAUUGUUUUAGUGAUUUUGACGACAUCGAUAAUUAUUUAAUCUUACAUUUGAUGCGUUAUUCAAGUUUCUAUGUUCAUAUUCAUCUUUUAAGGAUCACAGAGAUUACAUGAAGAAUUAAACAUUUAAAAUUACCACCAAAUAGUAAAAACAGACGACAUGAGCUUUAAUGGUGGAAUUGAAAACAGUCCACAUAUGCUUUAAAUCCUAGGCGGCAUCUUUUGUCAAAAUUUCAAUCGGCAUUUUUUGUCCAAAUUAAAAGCUUUAUAAGAUUUGAGAAAUGUGGGGUGUAUAGAAAAUAAGGAAAACAAAUGAAAAUGACUUGAAAACUUUGAGUUUUAACGAUAAGGACAAAAUAAAGAGUAACGUGAAUAGUAACAUGUUUGACUUUAGUGUAAAAAUAUGAUUUUUCGUUAAAGUGAACAGUACCGGGAGCUUUUCGUUAAAGUUUCCAAAGAUAAUUAUUCAUUGAAAAAAAAAAGUGAAGGUGUAUUAAGUAUGUAUGGUUUAUUCAAUAAUUUAUGGAGUGUUAAUAUAAUAAGCCGAAGUAGUGUGUGAAAGUUGCCAAAUACUACCAAUAUGGUGAUAAGGUUGGAAUGGGCCGUGAAGUGAGAUUAGCCACAAAAGCCUGUACCUCUCUGGCCCACUCCAAUUUUGCUACAUCAAACAGCCACAAAAAAAAAAUCACUUUCAUGGCUCUUGCUUCUCUCCGUAAGCUCAUUUAGACUUUUCUUCUUUUUAUUGGACCACUAGUGUAUGGGCACUCAAAAAAUGUGUGAGAAAUUUUUUUAUUUUUGUUUUUAAAAUAGAAGGAGAGAGGAAGAGAGUGAUAGAGAAUGUGGGAGUGUGAAGUCUUUUUUUUUUUUUUUUUUUUUUUUGGAGAUGCGUUAUGAUUACAUGUAGGUGAGGCUUUGAAAAAAAAAAGCAAAUUAGUUUGUGUGAAUACAUUUCUAUCCAUAUUUCUAUUUAUUUUUUAAUUGAGGGUUAACUGAUAUUUCAUAAGGUUUUAGUUGACAAUGAGUGUUUAUUAAUUAGUAGAGAUGGACUACAAUUAAACUAGGAGUAAUUAGGUUUUCAUCCUUAUUUUUACUACUCUAUUGAUUAAACCUUAUUACUUUUCAAUUUUGAUUCAGGUCCUUUGUAUUAUAAUAUCAUAAUUAUUCAAUAAUAAAUAUUUUUAUUUCUUAUAAUUCAUUAAUAUUAAAAAUUGUUAAAUUAGUAUAUUUAUACUUGGCUAAAUUUUUUAUCAUAUUUUUAUUUUAGUUUGUUUACCCAUUUUUAAUUCAACCUUUAUUUAUGUACCAAUUUCCUUUCAUUUUAAUUUGUACCCAUAUAUUAAAUUCUUUUGUGUCCAUAUUUUUUAAAGUUUUAUUUGUAUUGUACCCAUAUUUUUAUUUAUUUGUACCCAUUUUUAUUUUUGCUAAAGUACCCAUUUUGAAGAAUCCAUGUUUUGAUACAAUAAUUUUUUGGUUAUUUAUGAAUGUACCCAUGUUUACACACACACACACACAAUAAUAUAUUUAUAUUUUAAUAUUUUUAAUCCCACAAAUUAUGGUUUUUUAUUUAAAAUCUCAUUACUAUAAACAACUAUAAAUUUUAAUUUUUAAUUAAAAAAUAUAGUAACGUACAUAGAAAUAAAUUAUCAAUUAAUUUCAGGGACUUGGAUCAAAAAUUGAAAACCAAUAAGGUUUCAGUCAAAGAUUGUUCUUAACUAGGGACCGCAUCCAAAGUCUCCCAUUAAACUACUAUUGUCCAAUUUAAACUCUCGAUUUCUUGUGUAGUAACUGUCAUUCUCACAUGUAUAGCAGGUGUGACAUUUCUUUUUUUCAUACAAGCGAUACUGGAGAAUGAGAUUUGAAUAAAAGACCUCAAAACAAGGAUAAACGCUAUUAACCACUUGACAUACAAGUCUCUCUGCUGGUGAGAUUUCUAGUUUAUCAUUAUUUAAAAAAUUGUUUGUCUAAACAUCAAACCUAAUCAAAACUGAAGCAAAGCAUUACAACCUCCUCUGCCGUAGAAAGGACACCAAAAAUGUGAAAACAAAGGUAUAUGUAGUCUGGACAAUUUUGGAGCAGUAAUGAAUUGAAUUGAGAUAAUGCACAGGUAAGAGUAAAACCCUACUUGUUGCUCUUGUUGGAGAAAACGCCAUGAGUGACAUAUUGCAGUAGACGAGGCAGCGUCAGUUUCUCGAUAUGAACUUCACAACUAACGAUACAUAUGUGUUUUGAAUGCUUUUCAUCUUUGCAUGUACAAUAUCAUUUUAACCUUCUCUCAGUUAUAGUAUUGUUUUGCAUGUAGUUCAACAUUCAAGCGAACAUGGUUUUGGCUUUUCAUUCAUGAGUUAUGGGUUUAAAACUCAUUGUUGUAAUAGUUUUCAACUCUUCCACUCCUCUUAAUAAUAAUAAUAAUAAUUUAAAAAAAAAAUAGAGUAUUGUCUCAUCAAAGAAAAUCAACCGAAUUUCACAAAUUUUGUACCCACGUAUGAGAAGAAGAAAUUUGAGUUUGUCUUCGCUUAAAUGACAAAUCAGAGUGGGAACUCGAUUUUAUCUUCGCUUAACAAGCUCUUAGCGUGGAGUGUGAUUGGAGAUUAAAUUUUUACAUUUUCUCUAAAUCUAGUUAAAAGCUCAUUAAAAAGUCCAUUGAAUAUGCUUUUAGUCUUAGAAUAUCUCUAAUCGUGUAAGGAAGAGAAUUCAUUUUAAUGAGUCACAUAGGCAAACUAGCUCCAAUGUAAUAGGCAAUUGAUAAAUUUUGACCAUUCUCUCAAAGUAGACAAAUAAGGCCCCACAUUUAUCUUCAUGAUAAAAGUGGAGAAAAAUGACAAAGCUAAAAGAUAAAAAAAAGAUGUCAUAGAUGAAAGAAAUAUUAGCGUGCAGGAAUGCGAUAUAUGUAUGUAUGGGGGGAGCUUAAGGGAGGGGAUCCCCAUUUUUUGAACAAAAUGGGGAUUAGGUGUGGGGCCCACUCCACAUCCAAUUUCAACGAUCCGAACCGUCUAUUUUGUUAGUCUCGAUUCAUAGAUCAUCCUUGCAAAAAAUUAGCUAAAUUGGAAAUGUUUAAGACAUCUAAUUGGGUUCAAGGAAAUGAACGAAUAUUUUGUUAUAUAAGAAAAAAUGAAAUUUGAUCUUGAUAAUUAAAUAGGCAAAUGGUUUUGGAUUGAAUUGAAUUUUUGCAAAGAUGAUCUAUGAAUCGAGACUAACAAAAUAGACGGUUCGGAUCGUUGAAAUUCGAUAUGAAGUGGGCCCCACACCUAAUCCCCAUUUUUUUCAAAAAAUGGGGAUCCCUUCCCUUAAGCUCUCCCUGUAUGUAUGUAUGUAUGUAUAUAUGUGUUAGAAUGUGUAAUGGAUUAUUAUUAUAUUAUUAAAAUAAUUACCACCAAAUAGUAAAAACAGACGACAUGAGCUUUAAUGGUGGAAUUGAAAACAGUCCACAUAUACUUUAAAUCCUAGGCGGCAUCUUUUGUCAAAAUUUCAAUCGGCAUUUUUUGUCCAAAUUAAAAGCUUUAUAAGAUUUGAGAAAUGUGGGCUGUAUAGAAAAUAAGGAAAACAAAUGAAAAUGGCUUGAAAACUUUGAGUUUUAACGAUAAGGAUAAAAUAAAGAGUAACGUGAAUAGUAACAUGUUUGNNNNNNNNNNNNNNNNNNNNNNNNNNNNNNNNNNNNNNNNNNNNNNNNNNNNNNNNNNNNNNNNNNNNNNNNNNNNNNNNNNNNNNNNNNNNNNNNNNNNNNNNNNNNNNNNNNNNNNNNNNNNNNNNNNNNNNNNNNNNNNNNNNNNNNNNNNNNNNNNNNNNNNNNNNNNNNNNNNNNNNNNNNNNNNNNNNNNNNNNNNNNNNNNNNNNNNNNNNNNNNNNNNNNNNNNNNNNNNNNNNNNNNNNNNNNNNNNNNNNNNNNNNNNNNNNNNNNNNNNNNNNNNNNNNNNNNNNNNNNNNNNNNNNNNNNNNNNNNNNNNNNNNNNNNNNNNNNNNNNNNNNNNNNNNNNNNNNNNNNNNNNNNNNNNNNNNNNNNNNNNNNNNNNNNNNNNNNNNNNNNNNNNNNNNNNNNNNNNNNNNNNNNNNNNNNNNNNNNNNNNNNNNNNNNNNNNNNNNNNNNNNNNNNNNNNNNNNNNNNNNNNNNNNNNNNNNNNNNNNNNNNNNNNNNNNNNNNNNNNNNNNNNNNNNNNNNNNNNNNNNNNNNNNNNNNNNNNNNNNNNNNNNNNNNNNNNNNNNNNNNNNNNNNNNNNNNNNNNNNNNNNNNNNNNNNNNNNNNNNNNNNNNNNNNNNNNNNNNNNNNNNNNNNNNNNNNNNNNNNNNNNNNNNNNNNNNNNNNNNNNNNNNNNNNNNNNNNNNNNNNNNNNNNNNNNNNNNNNNNNNNNNNNNNNNNNNNNNNNNNNNNNNNNNNNNNNNNNNNNNNNNNNNNNNNNNNNNNNNNNNNNNNNNNNNNNNNNNNNNNNNNNNNNNNNNNNNNNNNNNNNNNNNNNNNNNNNNNNNNNNNNNNNNNNNNNNNNNNNNNNNNNNNNNNNNNNNNNNNNNNNNNNNNNNNNNNNNNNNNNNNNNNNNNNNNNNNNNNNNNNNNNNNNNNNNNNNNNNNNNNNNNNNNNNNNNNNNNNNNNNNNNNNNNNNNNNNNNNNNNNNNNNNNNNNNNNNNNNNNNNNNNNNNNNNNNNNNNNNNNNNNNNNNNNNNNNNNNNNNNNNNNNNNNNNNNNNNNNNNNNNNNNNNNNNNNNNNNNNNNNNNNNNNNNNNNNNNNNNNNNNNNNNNNNNNNNNNNNNNNNNNNNNNNNNNNNNNNNNNNNNNNNNNNNNNNNNNNNNNNNNNNNNNNNNNNNNNNACUAUAUUUAUACAAUUGACGCUUAACAUCUUUCUUGACAAGGACUUCGCAAAUUUACACAGGAGGUUUUUUGUCAUUUAAGCCAUCUAUUCCUAAGAGCUUGUUGCUAGAUGGGGAGCAUAAUGUUAAAUCACAUUUUACUCUUAUUAAUCACCAAGUAUGUAUGUACUAACCUGCUUCCAUAAACUUUUUACAUUGUGUGGGAGCGUAUCUUAGUGUUACAUCUUAUAAUUUUUAUUCUAAAUGAUUUUGUUCAGAUAAAACAAACAAGAACGGCUCUUGCAAUUGCUUCUUUGUUGAAUCGCACCCUGGUAAGAAAAAUUAUAUAUCUACCCUUUCUCUUUUAUUUUAGUCUAUUUUUUGGACUGAAAUGUUCUGGUGAUAUAUGUAAGAAUAAGGUUGAGAAUUAGACAGAAAAAUAACUUUGAAGCACGUUAAUACGUUUUCCUUAAAGUGAUAUUUGCCCCCAUUCUAAUAUGAGUUAGCUAACAGGUCUAAAACAAAUCACUUCCAGGAUACAACAAAGUUUAGAAUUUUAGUUUAGCAAGAACUGAAAUUCCCUUAAAAUAUUCUAAAAUGAAACUGUAUGAUUUUGAUGGAGAGAAAGAUGAUAAGAAAAUAUUGUUUGAAGAAUUGUAUAUCCAAAUAUGUAGCCGACAUAGGCUAUAUAGAUACUAUGGAACCCUUUGAAGAUGGAUCAAAGUGUGCAUAUAAAAAGUCAUGCUCUUUCCUGCAUCAUUACCACCGAAUGGAUACAUCUUUUAAUCAAACUCGCACCCUGCUGCAUCCUUUCAUUUUCUAAAAAGAUGCAAUCCCAUUGCUAGUGACAUGGAACUGCAAGAAGUCAUAACUUUCUGAUUUCAUAGUAAGAGACAUAUCCCUUAGUUGUACUUCUUCAAUCCAAGAGACAUGGAACUACAGCCAUGCUUCUUCAAUUGAAAAGACACGUCACUGCAGCCAUACUUCUUCAAUACAAGAAAUAAGGGAAUGCAGCCAAUCUCUCACGCAACAUCAUGUGUGUGUACAUAUAUAUAGGAAAAUUAGUAUUUGAUCCUUAGUUACUAAUGUUCUUUGAUUGAAACCUUAUUAGUUUUCAGAUUUUGAUCAAGGUCCCUAGGAUUAAUACAAUAAUGAAUUUACAUGUCAGUUACAUAAUUUUUAAAAUAAAAAUUAAUAAUUGAUUUAGGAACCUUUAUUAAACUCCUAAAUAAUUUUCAAUUCAACACAUUUCCAAAAUAAAAAAAAAUUAGAAUAAGUUUGUACCCCUUAAUUUUUUUAUAAAAAGGUUUCCAAUUUUUUAAUCUUAUAUGUACCCAUUCAUGUAAUUUUUUAAUUUUAAUCUUAAAAUAUACCCAUUCUUAAAUAUAUAAUUUGUUUAUAUAAAUGUACCAUUUUUUUUAUAUAAAAUCUAUUCAAUUUUUUUUUCUAAUCCAUUUUUAAACUUAUAUGGGUACAUUAUUUUUUCUUGAUUUGAGAAUGUAUCCAUGUCAAGUUUAAUCGAAGAAAUUUACUAAUAUUAUUAAGCCUAAUAUCUAUUAUUUUUUUGUGUGGUUUUGAAGAAUGUACCCAUAUUUUGGUACAAUAAUUUUUUUGUUAAUUUUAAUGAAUGUACCCAUGUUUACACACACACACACACACACAAUAUAUUGGAGAGUAUAAUUUAUAUUGUAAUAAUUUUAAUCCACAAAUUAUGGGGUUUUUCAUUUAAAAUCUCAUUAAUACAAACAACUAUAAAUUUCAAUUUUUAAUUUAAAAAAUAUAGUAACCUACAUAGAUGACACAUCCCGACCCGGAAUGUCCACAAGGACUUCGAAUCGAGCUGUGUUGGCCGACACCUGGAAAGUGAAGAAGCCAUAAAGUGUGACGAUGUGGAAAAAUAUGAAUAAAUUUGAACCUACGAGUGCCUAAAUACCAGAAUGCGCUGGUGAGCGGGAAUGAAUCCACUUUACACGUGACGUUAGAGCAUAAGUAAGUAUAGUAGAGUGGAUAAGGAUUAUACCCUUAGAAGUAGCCAUCUAUCCUGAGAUUUGCCAAGAAUCCUCGUCGAUACGAACAUUCAGCAAUUAAAACCUGGAGCGGCGCAACACAGAAAGUGUGAGUGGGAAAAAACAAAGUUUUACAAAACCAUUUCACUUAUCAAAAGUAAUAAUCCCUCACCGUAAAGCCUGAAUAAUUUCCUAGAAAAUAGAAUACAUAUCUAUAUUGAAACCAUACUCGGAAUAGCAAAAUCCACACGUAUGCCAUCCCCAAAAUCUCAACAUAAUGAAAUAAGUAAACUAGGUGAAAUAAAUCCAUGAAAAGUAAUAUGUCAGCCGGAUCCACCUAUUGCGGCCUGUAAGACUGAACCUAUAGCUCAACCAAUAUCCAAGUAAUAUGUCAGCCGGAUCCACCUUUUGUGGCUUGUAUGGCUGAACCAAUAGCUCAUCACAUAUCCAAGUAAUAUGUCAGUCGGAUCCACCUCUUGUGGCUUGUACGGCUAAACCCAUAGCUCAUCACAUAACCAAGUAAUAUGUCAGCUAGAUCCACCUCUUGUGGCAUGUACGACUGAACCCAUAACUCAUCACAUAUCCAAGUAAUAUGUCAGCCGGAUCCACCUCUUGUGGCCUGUAUGGCUGAACCUAUACCUCAUCAUAUAUCCAAGUAAUAUGUCAGCCGGAUCCACCUCUUAUGGCCUGUACAGCUGAAUCCAUAGCUCAUUAUAUAUCCUGCACACGAGUCAAAACCACCUCUAGUGGUCUGUACGACAGGACUGGGUGUAAAUAAGUACGCUCAAGUGCUACGAUCACGUGAAGACUGUGCGAAUAAUGGCGGGUCACCUACGAGUCGGAACCACCUAUAGUGGUUUGUAUGACAGGGUUGUGCACCUACUUUGGAUCCAAUGUGAGCGUAAGGUGCAGGAGAUGAACAUCAUGUGAAGGACUGUGCCCUGGCCACAGGCAGGAGCACUAACACCGGGGUGCAGGUUUUUGAGCUCUAACUGCAUUUAUUAUAACAUGUACGACUCAUGGACAACCUGUACGACAGUGUCAGAGUUGUCUAUCAUUGCAACCUGUAUGAUAAGGUCGGAGUUGCCUAAAACAUACAUGUAGUCAUGCCAUAACUUCAUCAUUUCAACUAAUACCAUAAACUCACCUGAACUUACCUGGGUCUCCUACGUUCACCUUUGCACUUCAAAGCGUUCACAAUAAUUAUGUGCAACUAAUAUACAUAUGGAUAUACCAUGAUGAAAUCUAAUACUCAACCAUGUCAUAGCAUUUUCAAUUACACACACACACACACACACACACACACACACACACACACACACACACACACACACACACACACACACACACACACACACACACACACACACACACACACACACAUAUAUAUAAUAUGGUAUAAAAUGCAUAAGCUGUAACGCCUUACUCCCGAACUAUUUAUUUUAGGGAAUAAUUAUCCAUGAUAAGCCCAAUUAGACACUAGUUUAAUUAACUAUCAUUACUUACGUUUCCUUACUUCAAUUUCCUGAUUUUUCACACAUGGAUUUAUGAACAACAUUUAACCACCAAAUCAUGAGGUUAAAUCUCACAUUUUCCACCAAUCUCCUUCACAUUGCUCAAUUCCCCAAACAAGGCUAUUGUCUCAAUUAUUUAGUCUCAUUUAUUGUAUGGUUGCAUCUAACGUUUUGUUAGAUUGCCUACGUACCCUAAACAGGGGUCAAUCCAUUCGUAGUUCACACUAGUACUUCAAAGCAUUCACAGUAAUUAUAUGUAGGUAAUAUGCAUAAAUCAAUUUAAAAACGUUUGUGGAAUCAUCAAUCAUAUAUACAUAAUAUACACGAUAAAAAGGAAAAGACCCACUCACCUGAGGUCCGCACUACGAUUCCCUAGCAUGCAUAUCGAGACAUCACGAACCAAUGUCGCCUAGAACAAUUAUCAAAUCAUGUCUCAGAGUUUUUACCUAUAGAAUACAUAAUUUACAGAAAAAACACAUCCCUACAUAAUUCACUCCUGAAGAUUUGCAUCACGGAUUUCCGAUCCGUUACUUCUAAAGAUUCACAUUAUGUUCCUAGAACCACGUCCUAAUAUUUCAUUAUGAUCCAACGGUCGGAUCUCCGCCAAUUGCCAAAACCAAGUGGCAGUCAACAUUUUAUUUUAUGAACUUACAAAUCCAAUUCAGGAAGAUCCGUAAGUCGGAUUCCCAAUCCAUAAGUUUCUAUGGUCCUCAAAUAUUACGUCCUAUAAUGUAUUAAAGUUUGGUAAUGAUCCAACGGUCGGAUCGUCGAUUCAUACUUUUACCAAAUAACGUGACCUAGAGAAUUUAGGUUCCAACCAUCAACAUAAGUCAUACAGUUACCAAGAAUGAACUCAAGGCAUCUAAUUUAGCCUAAGAAUGACAUUGACGGCCCCCUGGCCACGCGCUGCAAUGGGUGGCGAUCGGCCGCCCCAACUCGCUGGAAAAUCCAACUAUUUCUAAAAAUUACCAAAUUUUACAGAAAUGAAGAUCUCAAUGAGUAGAACAAGUUUUAUACAUGUGGCUAAGUCCAAUUUAGCCGGGAAAGGCUCCAAUUUCACUCAAACCCGUCGGAAACCCUAAGAUGGGUAUUCUUCAAUUCGACAUCCUCGAUGUUCCAACACCCCUACAGCUCCUUGGGUCUUGUUCCUGGGUCCAAGAGGAGUUGAUUAAGGGUGGUGGCGGGUGGUGAAACUCACCGGAUCAGAGGAAUCACCGUCGAACACCUUCAGUGCUCCGAUGAUGUUCUUCGCGUUUUUGGGCCCAAAACUCUUCAAUCUUGAGCGAAUAUGGAAGAAGAAAGAUUGGGGAAGAUGUUGCAGGUGGUGGAUAUGGUGUUCCACAAAACAAAAUGGUAGAAAUUGGCCGGAUUUUGACUGGUUUGGGUGUACGGGUGCACUGCCCGACAGGAAGGUUUCUUCUCUUUUUUAUUUAUUUAUUUAUUUAUUUUUCCCUUCUCCCUUCCUGAUUGGUUCUCCUUUUCCUCGCUUAAAAUUGAUUGGUUACCACUCCCACAUGGUGGGAGUUUGAAUUAAUUUAUAACUAAACUUUAAAUAACCAAUUUCAAAUGUCUGUAACUAUACUGAUAUAAUCCGGACUCGCAAACAGCUUUCGCCUAUGCGUUUGUACCAACGAGUACUACACAAAUGCACUAAGUGAAUAAGUCAUACGUUUCUCUACACGUUGGUCAAUGAAAGCCAAAACCUUCACCUUUAAGGCAUUUUCGUAAAUUCAUUCUUUUAAAAUUUAUAAAAUCGUAGAACUAGGGACGGGUUGUCACAAUCUAUCCACCUUAAAAAAAUUUCGUCCCCGAAUUUUGAAAUCAUUAGCUAAACAUAAUGUACUUCAGAAGAUAGGAAAAAGUAUAUAUACAUAUAUGGAAGGAGGAAAUCAAGGUAGAGCGGUUGCAUAACAGAGAAUGUCAUUCCGUCGCGAUUAGAGUGCAUUAAUUCCUCUUUCAUGCCUCCAAACUCAAACUUUCCUUCUCCUAUAGUACAAUACUAAAAUAUACAAUCCUUUAUAAAACAUAAGGUAGAAAAAUAGAUGUAUAACAACGUAAUGUCGAAGCACGUAUAUAAUAAAGUGAAGUUAAAAUAGUUGUACUGAAAACAACACCAAAAAUAGAAAACUUCACCUACACACCCAUAUGCGUCACGCGCCUCAAAGAUGAGUGUGUGCUAUCUUUGGAUCAAGCCCAAACAAUAAUUAAAUAACUAAACGUAGAUAGACCUAGAUGUCUACUUGUUCAACAAAUUCAACACUUAAGUUUUCAAUAUUACGAUCAGCAGCCCGUAAUACCAACAACUCACUAUUGUUCCGAUAAGUAAGUAACAGAUUCUUGAGGGUGCAAUAUUACCAUCAUGCCCCCUAGACCUGGCAUUCGUGUCGUGUUUUCCAUGUUUGUGUCGUUUUCGUGUCAUACCUGAUAUCUUAACGGGUCAUGUCGUGUAACACCCGUUAAAAUAAACAGGUAAAAUGACCCGACCCGAUAAUAUUAACAGGUAAUAUGACCCGACCCGUUACCCGUUAAGGAAAAUAUAUUUUAAACCAAUAAAUAAUCAAAUGAAAAACAUAAUACUAAAUAAGUAUAUACAUACCAUAUUAUCACAGUCAAAACAUAAAAACGCAUUUGUCUUUCAAGUAUUACAUAUUUACAUACCCAAAAUAAGAGCAUAAUAAAAAUAAAAAAAUUAGAACAUUACAAAAUAUCAAAUGUUCAAAAGAUUUGCAAAAUUAAGGGAGUUAUGUUUCAAGGUUUGGAACCUUGCACAUUUUCUUACAAUCAAACUCUUCAUUUUCAUCAAUCACCAUGGGAAACGGUAUUGGAACUUUGGCUUGAUAUAUUAUCUUCAAGAGUUAUAUUGAUGAUAUUUUCAAUGAGGCUUUCUACAUUAGCACUCUCUUCUCAUUUAUCCUAUAGUUAUUGUUUAAGUAAAUUCUUUAAUAGUUUUUUAAUUAAUGUAGAAGUGUGAAAAAUAUAGAAAAGUAUAUAAACGCUCGUAAUGACAAGCUUUACAACUUUCAUGAAGGGCUUAACUUUGAAAUGUGCCACUAUAAUCAUAUAAAUCAUAGAUCAAAAUUUAACCGUCGAUUGUUGUUUACAUUUAUGCUUCAUUUUUCUCACCAAAUUUUGUUUUUUCAAAUUUUGUUUUUUGAAAACAUGAUCUAUUAGAGGAUACAAGAAGAUGAAUGGUUCAGAUCGUUGGUAUUAUGUUCAAAGUUUUGCCGUUAGUGAAAAUAUUGCUUGGUGUUUAUAAAGUCUCUACAAAAUAUAUAACAUCGACUCAUAUUUCAAUUAACCGUAAAUAUCGGGAUAUGAUAUCAAAUAUCCGCACCGUUCAUCUUCCUACAUCCCCUAGAAGAUCAUGUUUUCAAAAAAGAAAAUUUAAAAAAUGAAAUUCAAUAUAAAGAAUAAAGCCUAAGCGACAAUCGACGGUUAUAUACAAAUUUAAGGUUUAUGGAUUAUAGUGUCGGAUUUCGAAGUUGACCCCUUCAUGAAAGUUGUAAAGCUUGUCAUUACGAGUGAUUGUGUAUAUAUAUAUAUAUAUAAAUAUAUAUAUAUAUAUAUAUUUUUUUUUACAUUUCUUACACUUCUACAAUAAUUAUUAUUAAUUUUAUUACUUUUACACUUAAAUAAAAAACACUAUUCAUUAUGGUUGGAGGGUUUUAAAAAUCUAAACGAUAAUGUAAGUGUAACCAUUGUCUACUCAUGGAGGAAUGAUGAAUCACGAGUGUUUAUAUAUUCUUUCACAUUUUCAUACAUGUAGGGAUGUCUUAUUGCCUAUACUAAUACUAUACUAGUUGAUUUUAAUUUUGGACAACAACAUGUUAUAAAAUUUAUCCUAUUAAUGAUAAUAAGAAACUCUCAUAAUAAAAAUAAAUAAAUGAAUAAAACUUAAUUUUUUUAACUUAUAUAGAAUAAUAAUACAAAAAUAUAUAUUUAAUAUAGAAUAUACCAAUAUAUACAAUAUGGCUAUUGUAUUUUAUAAUAAAUUUUUUAGUAAUUAAACUUUAAAAUUAUAAUUCAUUUUUCUUAACAGGUCAAAACAGGUUACCCACGUGUUACCCGCGUGUAUAAUGGUUUCUUUAUGGGUCACCCGAUAAUGACCCGAUUAGUUAUCGUGGUGACCCAAAAUCCGUUAUUUUCGUAUUGUGUCACCGUGUCGUGUAAGAAACUGCCGGGUCUAAUGCCCCCCAAUGGGAAAAUACGUAUAAAUCAUCUGAUCCAAGUCUUGAUCGUGUUCACGCACUACCCUUACGAGUAACAUCAACAAAUAUCAUAAUCUCGAUCAUUCAACUAUGGAUAAAAUUUUCGGUCAUGUGCUAUGGAUAAAAUUUUCACAGUACUUCUUAACAAUGCCAUACUCGAAACCAAAAACUGUAACCGUAGUUACAACCAACUAAAAAAAAAAACUAUUUAUUACAACAUACACACCACAUAACUCAACAAUGCAAUUCAUAACACCAUAAUGAGCAUAUUCCUAUUGAAUUUCUCUCGAAUUUAGCGAAAAUUAAGUCAAGACGGCUAACAUAAUACUCGAGAAUUUGAGGGUCAAAUAAGUCCAUCAAAUUUUAAAUACAAGGUAAUUGAAAUUAAUGUAUAACAUCUCGCUACAACGGUAGCUUUUCGAACAUUCAAUCACCAACGAUUAAGAUUCGUUUAGUAGAGUGUUUGUUGGGUGAUUGAGAAUUUAAUGUUCACAACUAAAUGUCAAUGUCCAAGCAAUCCUCUAGACAAUUUGCUUAAUUCAAAAAUAAUACAUAGUGAUAAAAAAUGUAGUCCCUCUGGACCAAUGAAAAAAAAUGGGUUGACUUGUCAAGUUGAUAUAUAAACAUCGAAACAUCAUCAUCAUCAUCACUACAUGUACAAGAUACCUCGUUCCAAAGGUGUAUGAUGAUAUUUCUCAACUCCCUUCAUAUACAAGAAGUGAUUAUGACCAUUCAAACCCUUUCUUGAUAUUUCGCAAGUAACGUCAAAACAAUACCUGUGAAUUCCAAUUGAGGCAGAAUAGGACAGGUCAGAAGUGUUCAAGUAUACAUAAAUCUUUUGCUGCAUUAAAUAGUAAUACAUUUGCACAAUUGUGAUAAUCAUAAAAGUUGAUUUACUUCUUCCACUAAUGCUGUCAGAAUUUAACCAAUUUCAAAUGAGACUAUAUUUGAAAAGUCCAAGAUUGAUAAAGGUCUCUAACACGUUUCUCCACUAGGAAGUAUCAUUCGGUUUUUCAAAUAAAGAUAAUAACACUUUACUCUAGUCAUGAAUAAAAUGGUUCAUUUUGGAACGAUUUUAACCGUUGGAAAGUCUAAGCGAUUCAUCGUCAUGUUACCUCCCCCACAAUUAAAAUAUCUAAAGAACACGUCAUCAUGGAUUUCUAAAUGAUCAAUGUUGUGGAGCCAAAAAUAAUCACAAGGCGACAUGUGGAUUUUUGGUAAAAAUGACAAAGUUGCCCCUGAGACACACCGGAUGUCCUACACGCGAGCAGUGGACAAUCAUUCUUUAAUCAAGCCAAGAGUGUCCAAAAAAGGUAACCAAUUCCAAAUUAUCUCAUCCAUCCUCAUCUUAGGUAAUUACUUCAUAACCUACAAAUUAUUCCAUAUAAAUGGAGAUUAAUUGGCUAAUUAAUCCAUUAAUCACCAAUUAAAUCACCCAUUUUCACACCAAAAACCUCUAAGGGCCAGCCACCUCCAUUCCCUAUAUAUAUGACCCUAUUUUUUCUAAAAAAAGGAGGUCCAAACUCUUGCAAAACUCCCAAAAACUCUCCAAAAACUCUUCUCUCUAAAUUCUUAACUUUGGCUUCGGAGGUUAUUUGGCCAAAGCACCCCCCAUUCAUCGUGGGCGCGUUAGGCUUGAUGAGUAUAUUUUAUAUUAUAUACCCUAAUCUUAGUAUAUUUUGGUUAAUAUAUUGGAAGAAUUUUGAUACUUUGAAUUGUAUUUUCAAUAUAGGACUUUCGACUUCCUCUGGAGCAAAACAGGACCAAAUGGACGAAUUUUGGAGUAAUUCCAGUUGGAGGACGUUCAUGAGUCACUUAGCUUGAUCGUAUCAAAAUUUGGGAUUUUUCCACCAAGCGGUUAUUUUCUGGCGAUAAAAUAAAGGAGCGAUGCGCAGUGCUGAAAAAUGACGUUUUUGGGCUUAAAUUGCGUUUUUGGAGCCCAAGAUGACCUCGGAUGGGUUCGUGGCCUUCUGGAGAAGUGUUCAGAAUAUUCCAAACAUUUUGGAGCAGCUUAUGGGUCCAAAACGUGGCUGUUCAGAUUUUAGAAGAAUUUUACCAUUUAAUUUAGGGUUAUGUUUCCUAUUUUAUGGGAAUUAAUUUUAGUUUCCUAGGGUUUGUGUGGAGGCUGAGCAAAUAUAUUGCUUGGCCGUCUACCAUAUUUCUUUACGCUUUAUUUUAUGCAACUUUGGAGACAGAGAGAAUUACUAGGGUUUUGGAGAUUUUCUACUUGAAGGUGUUUUCAAUCAUUUUCUUAAUAAUAUUUUCUAUGAUUUCAAUUAUGAAUAUGCAUAACUAAUUUCUUUUGCUAGGGCGAAGCCUUGAGCCUUAGCAUGAAUAUGUGAUUUUUAUUUAAUUGCUUAUGAUUGAUUGCAUGUGCACUUUGAAUUGUUAAUCACCGGGAUAAAAACUAUCUAAUUGUCGUAAUGCCUGAUCAACAUUAGGAUCUUUAGAAAAGUAAUUUGAUGCAAUUUUGGUCGGAAGGUUCCCUGAAAUUGACGCUGGCUUCUUGUGAUUAAUAAUUGUAAUUUCACUUAGGAUGAAUAUCACGUCUUAAGGAUUGCAUGGUUUUUCAAAGGAUUUUCAUAAAGCAUAAUGAGUCUUUCAUGUUCAGAUUUGAUCCGAACGUCCGGACGGGUUGCAUAUUAGAUAUACGUUCUAUGUUGGAGGUUCCAAGUAGAAUAUGAAUUAGGAAAAUCUAACCUUCAAAGUUGCAUGUGUAGAUCAUAAGUAAUUGGUAAAAAUUCAUAGGAUUGCUAGGUGAUGGUGGAACCCUAGUGCUUUCUUAAUUUGAUUCUCCCAAAACUGUUUUAUUUUCUCUCUAGCUCUAAUAUUGCAGAUUGUUUAUUUUAAUUCAUUAAUUUCGUUUUUAUUUUAAUUAGGUUAUAAAAUCAAUCACCUCAAUUUCUACUUUACAAUAAUUAAAAAGAAUCUGAUUAGUUUCGAAUUAUUUAAUAAUUCAUGUGGAGACGACCUUGCAAGAUCCGUUUAUACUAUAAUAACCUUGUGAUUCUUGCAAGUAAAAUAGGAGAUUUAAGCCCGUUCACAUGAGUAGUAAAAAUCCUAUCAAGAAAAUGGCGCCGUUGCCGGGGAUUAUUUAAAAUAAUUCCUUCUAAUCAGAUUUUCAGUUCAUUAUUGCUGUUUAUGCAUAUAAAAAAAAAUUUAAUUUUCGUUUUUAUUUUAUUUUUCUCAUAUUAUAGCAACUCUUAGUUAAUUAUUUUUGUAUAUAUCUUUUUAUUUAAUUGCUGAUUUUGUUUGGUAGGUUACAAUUUGUUUCUUUUUUAGCAGUGCAACAAUGGAAUUUGCAGUUCCUCCUGAAUUCAAUCUAAAACCUGGUGGACCACCUCUUUGGGUGUCAUUAGCAGAAAAGGGUUAUUAUGGAUUUAAGCCUACAGUUUGUGCUCUUUGCAAUUCAAGGACCCAUGAUAUUUUGCAAUGUCCUGAGAGGAAAUAUUUUCCAGAUUAUGUCCAAGAGUAUAUAUAUAUGAGAAACGAUUCAAAAUGGAAGUGGUAUAAUCCCCAUUUAGAGUUCUACACUCAAAGUUUGAAAGAGCAUCUUGGGAAGUAUUUUGAGCAGUUUAAUGUGCCACAAGAGCUUUCAGUGGAGGACAAGCUCUCUAAAUUGUUGGAAUUAACUGACUUAUACAUAGAAGUAACUAAUCAAGAAUUUCAGAUUCAACCAUUAAUAAACUGUGGGAAAAGCUUUGAUGAUCAAGAGGAAAUUGGUGCAGAAACGGAAGAGCAAUCUGCCAGCCAGUUAUGCCCAAGGGAGGAACCACCACCUGCUGAUCGUGAAACAAUUUCCCCACAAUCUUUUCCUCCCCAAGUUUAUGUGCCACCAGAACCCUUCCCAACAGGGCUGCACGAAUGCACAAUAAUUGAUAUGUUAGAAGUUGUUCAUUCAAAAUCAGUACAUCAGACAUCACAUGAUCAGCUUUUGACUACUCUGACCAUUUUGGAUUCGGAGCAACAUGCUACUUGUUGAUGCACAAAAUCAGCGAAGACUUUGGUACAACAGAAAGUGUCAGGUUUUGUGACCUUCGCUUGGUUGCUUCGGUCACUAGUGAGGAUAAGUACGUAAAUGAAUAGAGACAGAGAAGCAAACACAGGAUGUACGUGGUUCACCCAGAUUGGCUACGUCCACGGAGUAGAGGAGUUCUUAUUAGUAGUGAAGGGCUUACACAAGUACAAAGGAUCAAGCUCUCAAUUUAGUGAGUUCUUGUGAAUGAUUUAACACAAAUGGCAUUAGGCAAUAUUGUGGGGGAAUGACCCCUAUUUAUAGAAAAACUUGUAGCUUUGUCACAUUGACAUGUGUCAUGUUAUGAUUGGUUCUUGAUGUCGACACGUGCUGCGCUCUGAUUGGCUUCUAAUCUUGACACGUGUCGAGUAGUGAUUGGCCUCCUGGUCGGAGGGGAACUCUUCUGGGUCCUUGACAGUAUAGCGUUGGCCGGUGCUCGGUAGUUUCGGGAUUGGUCAAGUAUGGUACAAACAGUGCUCCCCUAAGUUCCCGAGUGAGGGAAACUCCUCGGUUGGGGACUUGCAAGAUCCAAUCCCUUGAGUAAUCACGAAACUUCUAAGUACCGAAGUGUGGUCUGAUCUUCAUCUGCCCUUCUCUGGAAGUACCUUUCCUCCAUCCGGGAAUGGUGUAUUUAGCUGAUGUUGACGCACAAGGUAAUGUAUCAAUUUCACUUGAAGCUUAGUUGUAGUUUCGGGCUUAGUCAAGUGUGAUACAAACCCUAUAGUAGGAGUCCCCCAAGUCGCCGAGCUAGGAGAUCUGCCGAAAGAGGUGACAGACAAGGUAAGCAGUCAAACUUCCAAGUAAGCAACCCAGGAUCAGAGGUUUGACUUCGGCUUCCGGUUGAUUGUUCUCCUUCUCCUUGUCUCUCAUUCAACUGCCAGGAUAAGGAGAAGCAAAUGGAUAAGAGAUGAUAUGAGAUACUUUUGCUUUUGAAGAAGUAACUUUCCACAGGCUUAUUCUUGAACUGUGCUGGAGGGUUUUCUGGUGCCCUUCAGAGUAUAAGGCCGACUCAAAAAUUUGAGGGUCAAAACAAGUCCAUCAAAUCUAGAGUACGUUCGACCUUGAUGAUAUGGGAUACUUUUACUGUUGACGAAAUAAUGAAUGUGGUAUGGAAAGGUGUCGUGCUGUAGUGAUCUGUUUCAGCUCACCGUUGAACCUUCUGCUUCAAUCUUUUGCAUGGCAGAAGUGGUGUGCAACCUUUGCAUUUAAAUGGUCAUUCAGAACAUUCCUUCAUAGUGACUCAUCCACGCUUGGCAGCUUCAGUGUAAAGAGCCAAUAUCUGAUCAACUGUCAUGAGGUAUUUGCCGGUGGAAUUCGUGACCUUGACAGCAGUUGAGGAUGAGUACUCGAGAGCAAUGCUAAGUAAGCAACCAGGCAAAGGCUCCAGGCAGUCAGUUCCAAAUUGGAGGUUUGAUUUCAGGUUCCGACUGACUGCUCUCUUUCUCAUUGUCCUGCAGGUGUGGACAAGGACAAAGACAAAGAUAGGGAGAAAGCAUGAUAUGGGAUACUCUUGCUUUCGACCCUGAUGAUAUGAGAUACUCUUGUUCUUGGUGUGGCUUAUUUUCUGAGGUAUUAUCAGGGGGAAAUAAAGCUGAGUAUUUCGAGAGGUUAUGUUGAGGGUGCCUUUUCGAAUGUGAGAAAGGGUUGAGCAUUUUUGCAGGUUUGCCUGUCCGUUGAGGAGGGAGGUCAAUGUAUAUAGGGAUUUCCCAAUAACAAGUAGUAAUGCUAUUCCUUUACCCUUCUUGGUCACAGCAAUGUAGUGGGAGUUGCCAGCUUCACGUGUUUUAAUAUUGUCAGAGCACUUUGAAAAAGUGGUAUGUGGUAUCUGGAAAGCUGAUAUUACGUGUGAAGAUUACAGACAAGCUUUAUCUAAGGAAAUCUGGCUCUCGAAGUUCUGAGAGUUGUGCCUCUUCGGUUUUUCGAACAAGCAAUCCCGUCGAGGAUCUGACUCUCGAGAUUCGGAAAGCGGUGCUACUCCGGUUUUUGAGAAAGUAAUUAUGUUGGGAGUCUCUUUUCUCGAAUGUGAGUAAAGGUUGGACGUUCUUGCCAACCUGUCUUGCCGCAAAACACGGAGGUCGACACACAUAGGGACUUUCCAGUUGUCAAGCAGUGGUGCUGUUCCUUUACCCUUAUGGGUAAUAGUAGGGUAGCUGGAACUUCGAAAUUCUCGUGCCUAAACUUUGUCAGAGAUCUUUGACAAAGUUAUAUGUGGUACCCGAGGAGUUGAUGGUGCAUAUGGAGAGCGGUGAUUGAACAGUAAGAUUCACGUGCUUUUUACUUCACCAGAAAUCUUGGACAGAUUGCCCGUAAUUUCCGCAAAGCUGAUUGUGCAUGUGACAGGUGCUGACGAGGCUGAAAAAAGCAGGUGCUUCUUCGAUUUCUGAGAUCGGCCCUCGUGGUCUCUGAGCAGCCCAGCUUUUUGAGAAAGCAAACGCCUCUUCGAUUUCUGAGAUCGGCCCUCGUGGUCUCUGAGCAGCCCAGCUUUUGAGAAAGCAAACGCCUCUUCGAUUUCUGAAGCUCCGUCGAGUGCAGAUUUUUAUAGAGGCUGGCAUUAAGUUCCACAGCACACCUGAAUCUCUACCAGUAGAAGCUCAUUUCUUGCACUUCUAAGAUCUUGAUUUGUCUGACCUCUUCCUUCUUCAAACACAUUUGAAAAUGUCUGGACCCUCCGACCGUCGUUUUGACCUGAACCUUGGAGAAGAGACAGCCACGCCUUCUCCAGACAACAUAUGGCGCCCAUCCUUCAUAUCCCCUACUGGUCCUCUUACCGUUGGGGAUUCUGUGAUGAAGAAUGAUAUGACCGCUGCAGUGGUGGCCAGGAACCUUCUCACUCCCAAAGAUAACAGACUACUUUCCAAACGGUCUGAUGAGUUGGCUGUUAAGGAUUCUCUGGCUCUUAGUGUUCAGUGUGCAGGUUCUGUGUCUAAUAUGGCCCAACGCCUAUUUGCUAGAACCCGCCAAGUUGAAUCAUUGGCUGCUGAAGUGAUGAGUCUCAAACAGGAGAUUAGAGGGCUCAAGCAUGAGAAUAAGCAGUUGCACCGGCUCGCCCAUGACUAUGCUACAAACAUGAAGAGGAAGCUUGACCAGAUGAAGGAAUCUGAUGGUAAGGUUUUACUUGAUCAUCAGCGGUUUGUGGGUUUGUUCCAAAGGCAUUUAUUGCCUUCGUCCUCUGGGGCUGUACCUGGUAAUGAAGCUUCAAAUGAUGAACCUCCAAUGCCUCCUCCUUCUGGGGUUUUGUCAAGUACUGAGGCUCCGGAUAACCACCCUCCGGUGCUUUCUCUUUCUGGGGCUCUACCGACUGCUGAGACUUCCCCUAAGCAACCUUUGUGAAGGCUCCCUUUUGUUUGUUUAUUUUGACUAAUGUAUAUGUACAUAUUUGUGGCUUAUCGAAAAUAUUAAUAAAUAAGCUUUGCUUCAUUUCAAUAUAUUGUGUUAAAUACACCAAAGCCUUCUUCAUAAAGUUCUUUGAAUUUUUGCUUUUGUUGAAACCUGUAUUGUUGAAGCUUUGUGAGUGAAGCAUGUAGUUUGAGGUAGUGUUCCCUUAAUUUCCCGAGUGAGGAAAACUUCUCGGUUGGAGACUUGAAAAAUCCAAGUCACUGAGUGGUUGUGAGACUGCCGAGUAUUAAGGUGCAGUAGCAUAUGGUGGGAGUCCCCCAAGUCUUCAGGCGAAGAGAGUUGCCGAAUGAGGUGUCUCGCUUGUUACUAAUUUGUCAAAGUAACGAAUCCUUGUUUCGAUGUCACACAUUCGCAUAUGCCUUAUCUAAAAAUAUUUCCAACUUUUGUGUGUUUGAUGCUGCAUGCUAUUGACUAGACAAGAUCAAGUGCAAUUAGUAGCUUUUCUCUCUUUUUCAUCUUUUCUUUGGUGGAAUUGCUUUUCGUUUCCACUAAUCAGCCUGAGUGGAUGCAAGAUAACACCAUUCUCUAUAACUCAGAUCGCAAAGUCGUCUUCAUGAAAGUUGUUCCUUAUCUUGUGAACUACAACAUCUCAAAUUUGAGAUCCAUCGGAGUAGUACAACUCCAGAAAUUCAGGUAUGAUGAGUAACUGUUCAUCAAUUUUCUGUUAACCCGUCAGACUUGUUGUGAGCUUCUAAACUCCAUUUUUUUCUUGUUCAUCUCAACAUACUUUCUUCAUCGAAGUUGUUCCUCACCUUGUCAGCUACAACAUAUCCAAAUUUGAGAUCCAUUGGAGCAGUACAAAUCCAGAAAUUCAGGUAUGAUGAGUGACUGUUCAUCAUUUUUCUGUCAACCUGUCAGACUUGUUGUGAGCUUCGAAACUCCAUUUUCUCUUGUUCAGAUCAACAUACUUUCUUCAUCGAAGUUGUUCCUUAACUUGUGAACUACAACAUAUCCAAAUUUGAGGUCCCUCGGAGCAGUAUAACUCCAGAAAUCCAGGUAUGAUGAGUGACUGUUUAUCAUUUGUCUGUCAACCCGUCAGAUUUGUUGUAAGCUUUGAAACUCUAUUUUCUCUUGCUCAGAUCAGCAUGCUUUCUUCAUUGAAGUUGUUCCUCAGCUUGUGAACUACAACAUAUCCAAAUUUGAGAUCCCUCGGAGCUAUAUAACUCAAGAAAUUCAGGUAUGAUGAAUGACUGGUUAUUAUUUUUCUGUCAACCCGUCAGAUUUGUUGUGAGCUUCGAAACUCCAUUUUCUAUUGUUCAGAUCAGCAUGCUUUCUUCAUUGAAGUUGUGCCUCAUCGUCUCUUUCAUAACAUAUCAAAAAUUCAGAAUGAACUAAUGGUUAAAUAUUUCCAGAUCUUCGAAACAUCAUAGCAGCUUCGAAAUCUGCAAGAAUCCGACUGUCAUGUUUGGAGCUUCAACACUUUAAUUUCCGUCGCUCAAACAGAAAUGGUUCCUUCUUGAAAGUUGUUCAUAUGCUCAAAAACUAUAGGGGUGUCCAAAAUUCAGCUCCAUUGGAGAAGAGCAGAGGUUGCAGAAAUUUGAUAGAUGAAAGGAGGCGGAAGAGGGAGAGAGAGAAAAAGUCUCUUGGGUUGGAUUUCUAUUUUGGGGCAGAUUCCAAGUUUUGUGUAGCACCUUCAUUAUUGAUGAAUUGCUUGUACUUUUGUCCAUUAUGAAACUUGGGACUUUGGCUUGUUGUUGGAUCUAUUAUAAUAUGUUUGGAAACAUAUAUAUAAUUGCUUGUUUGGUUAUGACAGGGAUGUUGUGGGUGUAGAACAAAACAAAUGUUUGUGUUGACCUGUGUUUUUGUACAAGUUCAAGGGCAUCUUGGGUUUUGUGAACAAAAUUUGUUUAUUUGGAGCAAGGUUUUGUGUUGAAGCUUUGUAGGUGAAGCUUUGGUGUUGAAGCUUUCUAGGUGAAGCUUUGAUGGUGAAGCUUUCUGGGUGAAGCUAUGUAGGUGAAGCUUUCUAGGUGAAGCUUUUUUAGGUGAAGCUUUGUAGGUGAAGCUUUUUUAAGUGAAGCUUUUCGGGUGAAGUUUUUUGGGUGAAGCUUUUUGUGAAGGUGGUGUGAAGCUUUUUUAGGUGAAGCUGUUUGGGUGAAGCUUUUUGGAGGUGAAGUUUUUUUUUUUUGGGUGAAGCUUUUUUAGGUGAAGCUUUUUGGGUGAAGCUUUGAUGGUGAAGCUUUGUAGAUGAAGCUUUGUAGAUGAAGCUUUCGAGGUGAAGCUUUGAUGGUGAAGCUUUGUAGGUGAAAGUAUGUAGAGGGAGCUUUCUAGGUGAAGCUUUUUUAGGUGAAGCUGUGCAGGUGAAGCUUUUUUUAAGUGAAGCUUUUCGGGUGAAGUUUUUUGGGUGAAGCUUUGUGGGUGAAGCUUUUUUAGGUGAAGCUGUUUGUUUGGGUGAAGCUUUUUUAGGUGAAGGUGAAGCUUUUUGGGUGAAGCUUUUUGGAGGUGAAGUUUUUUUUGGGUGAAGCUUUUUUUGUGGUUUUUUUGAAGCUUUUUAGGUGAAGCUUUUUGGGUGAAGCUUUGAUGGUGAAGCUUUGUAGAUGAAGCUUUGUAGAUGAAGCUUUCGAGGUGAAGCUUUGAUGGUGAAGCUUUGUAGGUGAAAGUAUGUAGAGGGAGCUUUCUAGGUGAAGCUUUUUUAGGUGAAGCUGUGUAGGUGAAGCUUUUUUAAGUGAAGCUUUUCGGGUGAAGUUUUUUGGGUGAAGCUUUGUGGGUGAAACUUUUUAGGUGAAGCUUUGUGGGUGAAGCUUUUUUUAGGUGAAGCUGUUUGGGUGAAGCUUUUUGGAGGUGAAGUUUUUUUUUUUUUUUUUUUUUUUUUUUUUUUUUUUUUUUUUGGGUGAAGCUUUUUUAGGUGAAGUUUUUUGGGUGAAACUUUUUGGAUGAAGCUUUUUGGGUGAAGUUUUGGAGGUGAAGCUUUUUGGGUGAAGCUUUGUGGGUGAAGCUUUUUAGGUGAAGCUUUGUGGGUGAAGCUUUUUUAGGUGAAGCUGUUUGGGUGAAGCUUUUUGGAGGUGAAGUUUUUUUUUUGGGUGAAGCUUUUUUAGGUGAAGUUUUUUGGGUGAAACUUUUUGGAUGAAGCUUUUUGGGUGAAGUUUUGGAGGUGAAGCUUUUCGGGUGAAGCUUUUUGGAUGAAGCUGUUUUUUUUUUUUUUUUUUUUUUUUUUUGGCGCUUGACACGGUCUUCAUUUGCUUGUUUUGUAGUGACUGUGGAAGACGGAUUGCUUUCUGAUUGAGAAGGGUUCCGGCAUCGCUUUGCACCAUCUUCAUGUGGGUAAUAUAGGAACUUCCUUAUGUUUUGAUCAUGCAUGUAGUGAUAGAAUUUGUUUCUUCUUAUUGUAGAUGUCAGAGCCUGGAAGUUCUAGUGAUGAGGGCUCUUCUAGCUUUAGCUCUACGUCUGAGUCUGCAAUGUCGGAGUCUUCAGGGUCUUUGUUAGAGUCCUGUACUAGAGAAACAUUGGAUGAUCUUCCCAACCGUCAAACUUUAGCUAUUGCUAGUUCUUCCUCCAUGGCGUUGGGUGAGGGGGUUUCUCCUGAUAUGUCUUUGCCUCGGCGGAGGCAUGGUUAUAAGCCUGCGCCAUCACCUCAGAGUAAGUCUUCCAAGUAUUGGCAUUGAUCAUGUAUUUAAAGAAACAAUCACGUACGCCUGCCGUGAAGGCUUUGAGGGCAGUCUUGUCGUCUGCCUCGGCACACCGGGAGUAUUCAUGGCUGAAGCGGCUAGCAUACAUACGUAAUGACUCGUCUGGCCUCUGGCGGAUAGUGUACAGGUCAUCUGCAGAGUGCAAGCGAUCGGUUUGGAAAAUGUGUUGGGAAACAAAUAGUUUCCUCAAUUCCUCAAAUGAGUCUACCGUCUCAGGUGUAAGACGACAAUACCAAUUUAGAGCUCCGCCAGAGAGGGUGGAGGGGAAGAGAAGACAUCGAUCUUCGUCGGUGUGCAUCCGGUAUGCCAUGGUGGACUCAAAGAGGUUAAGGUGCUCAAUCGGGUCCUCUUUUCCAAUAUAAAGUUGCAAGCCAAGCUUCUGCUUUGUCUUUGCUUGAAGGGGGGUGUUGAGGAUCCUCCUUGUAAGAGGGCCAGGCCUGGGUUGGUUCCAGUCAGGUAUUUCAGCCUGACGUUCAGCCUUCAACUUGUUUACUUCCUCAAGAAGUUGUAGGACAAGGGGGUCAUGAGCGGAGUUAUGUGCCACUGGAGCUUUCUUUCGUAAAUCUCCAUCUCCUCUUGGAAUUAGGAAGGUUUGAUCAAGGGCAUGUGAUUUUUCCCUGGACUCGCUGUACUGGCUUCCAGGGUAUGUCUGUCGGAACACCUCUGAGUCCCCUGUACCCUCAUGUCUCUCUAGGACUUGUUGCACCUUCCCCAAGUUGGUGGCCGGCUCGGGCCGUGGCAGGGGACCGAGUCUCUCAGAAAUCCUUGGGUCAUUGAUCUUUGAGCUUAUAUGGAUGGAAUUCUCUCGACGUUGCUUCAGGAAAUCCCGACAAUCGCGAAAGACGGCUUUCGAUCCUUCUGCCCCUUCAGCAAAGAGGUGUCUCCCUCCGCUUCUCAUGGUUCGGGUCGAAGCAACUGGGUUAAGAGAAGCCUCAUGUUGAUUAUCAAAUCGAGGGGUAAUUUGUUCCCUAUCAGGGAUAUCUAUGUCGAAUGCAUGUGACCCUCCAUGUUGGAGGGCACCCAGUUGAUGGUUAACUUCCACGAGGGCAACAAGCUCGCGUGUCUGAGCUUGCCUAGCUUCGUGGAGUGUCUCGAAGAGCUUCUCAUAUUGCUCCUGGAGGACCUCAUUCCUCAUUGCUAUCUUGUUGUUCUGAGCUUCCAACUCAUCGACUUUAGCUUGAAGAAGAACUCGUUUUCCUUCCUUCUUUCGUUGUUUCGCACUAUGUGCAAGGGGGGUGUCAUUCUGUGUGCUGUGGCUUCCUUCGCUUCCCAUGCUAGAGAGGGAUGCCUGAUCAAAAGAAAGUGUACGAAUGAUAGAAACCAGCUUGACACAGCUGAAGAGAGUAGGAAUAAGUGUCGUUUCCCACAGACGGCGCCAAAUGUUGAUGCACAAAAUCAGCGAAGACUUUGGUACAACAGAAAGUGUCAGGUUUUGUGACCUUCGCUUGGUUGCUUCGGUCACUAGUGAGGAUAAGUACGUAAAUGAAUAGAGACAGAGAAGCAAACACAGGAUGUACGUGGUUCACCCAGAUUGGCUACGUCCACGGAGUAGAGGAGUUUUUAUUAGUAGUGAAGGGCUUACACAAGUACAAAGGAUCAAGCUCUCAAUUUAGUGAGUUCUUGUGAAUGAUUUAACACAAAUGGCAUUAGGCAAUAUUGUGGGGGAAUGACCCCUAUUUAUAGAAAAACUUGUAGCUUUGUCACAUUGACAUGUGUCAUGUUAUGAUUGGUUCUUGAUGUCGACACGUGCUGCGCUCUGAUUGGCUUCUAAUCUUGACACGUGUCGAGUAGUGAUUGGCCUCCUGGUCGGAGGGGAACUCUUCUGGGUCCUUGACAGUAUAGCGUUGGCCGGUGCUCGGUAGUUUCGGGAUUGGUCAAGUAUGGUACAAACACUACUGAUCAGAAAAUUUUGGUUGUUGAAUUGGACACGCAAACAUCACAAUUCAUCAAAUUUAAAGAAAAUCAGGAUCAAUUCCGUGACAACCAAAUUCCUCAUAGAGAAAUUCUGCCAGUGCAGAGGUGGUGGGUGUUAAAUACAAGGUUCAAGGCAGCUCGAUGGAAACAUAAACCUCACUGGAAACAACCUUAUUUGAUCACAAAGAUUCAUUCACAUAGAACUGCACUUAUGAAGAAUUCAACCACUGAUAAACAACAACUCAUUCCAUACCUACUGUUGUCGUAUGAUGCUAUCAAGAAGUGGUGAACUCGAAGGGAACAAGUGACGUGAUCUUCAAUUCUUCCCUCUACGUCUAGCUAUAGACAUUAACUAAAGCGCUAAUUGGGAGGCAACCCAAUUUUUCUAACUCUUUUCUUUUUAUUUCGUUUAUUUUAUUUUCCUGUUUUUAUCCCUAAUUACAAAAAUCACAAAAAUAAAAAAUUAGAAAAUUGACAAAAAAAUUGCAAUUUUUAAUUCUUGUUAUUUUUCUUUACUUAUCUAAUUAGUUUUUUUUUAUUGCAGGUUGCAUUCGGAACUGAUUCGGCCUAAUCCCAACUAAGGGGGUGCAAUCAACAUUUAUUCCCCUAGCACAUUCAUCAUCAAUUCAUCAUCAAUUCCUCUACAUUCAUGAGAUUAGGCAGUGCGGAGUACAAGAUUUUUACCUUUGCAGGCACUGGAUCUACAUUGUAGCUGGUGUUCCUUUUCAUUGUUAGUGUUCCGCUUCCAGAUCGUCGACCUUUGCACCCUAACAAGAUGCACAGAUUUUACACAUGCCGGGUGAAGCUUAUAUGAGACAUGCAGUGAGAGAAGGCUAGUAAUUUUACCCUUUCUGUCUCGGAUUUGAGCUGCUUGCAUGUUGUUUUUCAUUUUCCUCGUGUUUGGUAGGUGGCUCCACAUCCUCGCAAAGGAAGCAGAUCAGCAUGAGUUAAUGUUCUUUUCCGUAUAAAAAAAAAAUCAUCAACUGUGCACCUAUUAAACAAGGACAGGGACGAAGAUAACCUUUAUGGGAAGAUUUGAGCUUCACAUGUGCUACCAUUUCCAUGGCCGAGGUGUUGGUUUUGGGGUUCUUGUAGCGGAGAGUGUGUGUGGUUGAGCAGCUGAGGGUGAAGGGUAAACAAAUGAAAAAAAAAAAAAAUUGGGAGAAGGAGAGUUAUUUUUCAUGCUAGAGAGAAAUGGAACAUAAUGGAGUUUUUUCAGUUGGAAUCCUAAGGAACUCAUCAUUCGGAUGGUCGACACGUGUACAUAUCUGGAGCUUUGCAUGACUGACCGAGAAGGCUGUUUUAAAAUGGGAAAACAGAGAGCCGUUUGGCUCUGGGUUUGAUGCAAAGAAGGCGCUGGGCUCGAGGAGAAUGGAUGCGGAGGAUCCAAAGUUGGGUCACAACCAGCUAGGGUUUUAUGGUGCACGCAUGUGAACACCUGUGGUUGAUGUGAAGAAGCUCAGCGUCUUCUGUUUGCCCACCAGUUUGCGAGUUCGAUUCCCCGGAGCUAUGCAAGUUAUUGCACUUUAUUUCAAACUUUUGACAGCGCCUCCAAGCUCCUAGGUUAGAACCUCUGAGGUGCGUUCUUUUCCUUCUUUUUGUUUUAUUUUCUGUUUUGUUUUAUUUCCUUCAUUUUUUUUUUGUUUUAUUUUAUUUUCUGUUUUUAGUUGUCUCUUAAUUUCCGCUCUUUCAUCGUAGUCGCUAUUAUUUAUUUUCCACACCUUGAGGACAAAGUGUGAAAUAAGUUUGGGGGUGGGAAACAACAUUUUAGGUUUUAAAUUUUUGUGUCAGUUUAAAAAUUUUCAUUCUUUUUAAGUUAAUAUUCAUAGAUUAUUUUAAACGUUAGAACAAAUAGACAUGGUAAAGAUUAAUCCCACAGUAGAGUCUUUUCUAUUUAUCGUUGCUUAGACAUUAAUUCAUGAAUUAUACUUUGAACUUUGCACAUCACACCAACAUGGUUUGUGGGGAGUGAGAUUGAAACACUUACUUUUAGUCUAAGUUUAUUUUUAAUUUUUGUUUUAAGCAAAGUCCGUUAUUAUUGUGAAUAAAGUAAUAAUUGUCUCACCUGAGGUUUUGCCUAGUAACCGGGUCAGUCCUGCCCAAUCAGCAGUGAUUCUCGUGUUAAACGGUAGAGUUUUGGCAUGGGGCAGGGUGGUUAGUUGGUUUCGUAGCCUUUUCAGCUCGGGUUAAUAAGUCCUUAGGGGUGUUCUACACUUAGUGCCCUAAAGCCCUAGUGGUUUGGGAGUCAUUGACCUAAAGCUCGCUACAUGGGUUGGAUCGAAAGUUUAAGUGAACCGACAUUGCACAACCACUACUGUUACUGAAAAAAAAAAGAGAAAAAAAAAUUUAAAAGAAAAAGAAAAAGAAAAAUAGUUAUAUUUAAAGUUAGUAUGUGUGAAAUAAAGAAGGACGAGAGGUAAGGGUUUUAGUCGAGUCUCCUUAACUAUGUUGGUUCACUUUACACCAAAGGACGUCUGUGAAUUCUUUUCUAAUUGACUCUAAAUGGCUUAGACUCUGUGGUGGGAUUGGUUGGAACUUUUGAAAAGAUGUUCUAGUUUUUAAAAUUUGUUAUGGAUUGCAACUUUGAAGGUGAAUAUUUUUGUUAGUUAAUUUUAGCUAGUUGUCUAGUUUGUUAAGUUUUUAUUUUUGUUGAGUCUUGUUUUGCUUGAGGACAAGCAAAAAGCUAAGUUUGGGGGUAUUUGAUGAGUAUAUUUUAUAUUAUAUAUUUUACCCUAAUCUUAGUAUAUUUUGGUUAAUAUAUUGGAAGAAUUUUGAUACUUUGAAUUGUAUUUUCAAUAUAGGACUUUCGACUUCCUCUGGAGCAAAACAGGACCAAAUGGACGAAUUUUGGAGUAAUUCCAGUUGGAGGACGUUCGUGAGUCACUUAGCUUGAUCGUAUCAAAAUUUGGGAUUUUUCCACCAAGAGGUUAUUUUCUAGCGAUAAAAUAAAGGAGCGAUGCGCAGUGCUGAAAAAUGACGUUUUUGGGCUUAAAUUGCGUUUUUGGAGCCCAAGAUGACAUCAGAUGGGUUCGUAGCCUUCUGGAGAAGUGUUCAGAAUAUUCCAAACAUUAAAUCCAGCUAUAUUGGGCCAGUUUUGGAGCAGCUUAUGGGUCCAAAACGUAGUUCAGAUUUUAGGCGAAUUUUACCAUUUAAUUUAGGGUUAUGUUUCCUAUUUUAUGGGAAUUAAUUUUAGUUUCCUAGGGUUUGUGUGGAGGCCGAGCAAAUAUAUUGCUUGGCCGUCUACCAUAUUUCUUUACGCUUUAUUUUAUGCAACUUUGGAGACAGAGAGAAUUACUAGGGUUUUGGAGAUUUUCUACUUGAAGGUGUUUUCAAUCAUUUUCUUAAUAAUAUUUUCUAUGAUUUCAAUUAUGAAUAUGCGUAACUAAUUUCUUUUGCUAGGGCGAAGCCUUGAGCCUUAGCAUGAAUAUGUGAUUUUUAUUUAAUUGCUUAUGAUUGAUUGCAUGUGUACUUUGAAUUGUUAAUCACCGGGAUAAAAACUAUCUAAUUGUCGUAAUGCCUGAUCAACAUUAGGAUCUUUAGAAAAGUAAUUUGAUGCAAUUUUGGUCGGAAGGUUCCCUGAAAUUGACGCUGGCUUCUUGUGAUUAAUAAUUGUAAUUUCCCUUAGGAUGAAUAUCACGUCUUAAGGAUUGCAUGGUUUUUCAAAGGAUUUUCAUAAAGCAUAAUGAGUCUUUCAUGUUUAGAUUUGAUCCGAACGUCCGGACGGGUUGCAUGUUAGAUAUACGUUCUAUGUUGAAGGUUCCAAGUAGAAUAUGAAUUAGGAAAAUCUAACCUUCAAAGUGGCAUGUGUAGAUCAUAAGUUAUUGGUAAAAAUUCAUAGGACUGCUAGGUGAUGGUGGAACCCUAGUGCUUUCUUAAUUUGAUUAUCCCAAAACUGUUUUAUUUUCUCUCUAGCUCUAAUAUUGCAGAUUGUUUAUUUUAAUUCAUUAAUUUCGUUUUUAUUUUAAUUAGGUUAUAAAAUCAAUCACCUCAAUUUCUACUUUACAAUAAUUAAAAAGAAUCUGAUUAGUUUCGAAUUAUUUAAUAAUUCCUGUGGAGACGACCUUGCAAGAUCCGUUUAUACCACAAUAACCUUGUGAUUCUUGCAAGUAAAAUAGGAGAUUUAAGCCCGUUCACAUGAGUAGUAAAAAUCCUAUCAAGGCUCUUGGCCUUGACCUAAGGUGUUGAUUGUUUUAUAGGUGCAAUUUUGUCCAAGAAGAAGAAGGUGGAAAUUUGCAUCCACAAAUGUCAUCGAAAGAUGUAAAGAAAAGGUAAGGUGAGACAACAAUUCUUUGUUAGAAACUUUAUUCAUAUUGAACAUCUCAACUAAAUUGACCUUCCUCGGUUGGUAUGUGAAGAAAAACACCACAGUUGAGAAAUUGCUAACAAUUUGUCGAUAAAAUCAACAAGACCAAAGAUAUCUUGAAAUUCACAAUACCUUGUGAGAAUUCCAACUUUUUUCCGCUACUACCUUUGGAGAAAAGAAAAGAAUAUCAUUGAAAAUCACAUGUCCUAAGAGAAGUACCAAUUUACACAAAGGUAAUAUUUGAGGAAUUUUAUGUGAAGCUAACUGUUGAUAAUUGGAGAAUUUAAUUUCGUUAAUAGAAUAUGUAAGAUAGUCAUCUACAAGACUAUUAUGAAUUUAUCAAACUACACAAGGAAACUUGAGUUACAAAGGUUGGUUGAUAAGAAAUAGGGAGAAUAAAUGUGAUGUUAACAAGGUGGAUCAAUGGUGUAUUCUACUUCUCGCAUUUGGUAGAAUCCCAAAUAAAAAUUUGAGAAUUGAUGCCAAAGGUAAAACUCUUCCAAAUGUACUAGGAACUGAUUCCAUAAUUCUAGGGAAAAAAACUUACCACUUCGAGAAUUUCUACUGACCUUAGAUAUAACGAUUCUUACUCAUGUGCCAAGGCUCAUCAAAAUGACGAGUAUAGCACUAAAAGUAAUGUGGAAUUUAAUAUUGGUUGGAGUGUUCUAAAGUCAGAAAAAUAAAAUUUUCUAGUAAUCUACUUUAGAAUGGACUUAAACAAAAGUCGAUCUUCCCCCUGAAGAUCCAGAAUGAUCACUUACGUGUUUGGAAAAAUUUGUGCUAUCAGAGACCAAAGUGAUUAUCCCAAGAUGUUCUUUCGUCGAGUGCUACCCCUAUAGCACUACAUUGUCACUCAAGACAUUUCUGAAAAUUUCGACAAAAACUAAAACUUCGUAAAGAUCUGGUAAGCGAAACAUUAACGGGUACUGCCAAAGAAUCAAGACUAUCAAUGGUUUCCUAACUCGAAAAGAUUGGAAGAAAUGACUAGAUAGUAGUGGAAUUGAUAGGAAAUUCUCCCCCCUGAGAUACACAACUAUCAAUAUAGAAGUCCUACUUCAAGGCCAUCAACUUAUCCCCAAGUCUACAUCGUUCAUUGGCAGGGAAAUUCUUCCCUUAUAAUUUAGAGGCCUUCGCCAAAAUGAUAUUUUUAAACGUCAACAACUCGACAAAACUGCCCAAAACUUAGGAAAAACUAACACAUUUUUUGUAUUCAACGAGGUGGUAAGAUUCAGAAAUUAGGUUCAAGAAUAAAAAAUGCUCACUUCACACGUGUGAUGAACGCAAUAUUGCCCAACUUAUGCUCUGAUACCAAACUGACACACCCCGACCCAGAAUGUCCACAAGGACUCCGAAUCGAGCUGUGUUGGCCGACACCUGGAAGGUGACGAAGCCAUAAAGUGUGACGAUGUGGAAAAAUAUGAAUAAAUUUGAACCUAAGAGUGUCUAAAUACCAGAGUGCGUUGGUGAGCGGGAAUGAACCCACUUCACACGUGACGUUAGAGCAUAAGUAAGUAUAAUAGAGUGCAUAAGGAUUAUACCUUCAGAAGUAGCCAACUAUCCUGAGAUUUGCCAAGAAUCCUCGUCGAUACGAACAUUCAACAAUUAAAACCUGGAGGGGAGUAAAACAGAAAGUGUGAUAAGCCCAAUUAGACACUAGUUUAAUUAACUAUCAUUACUUAUGUUGAUACACAAAACCGAAGGUCUUGGAACAAUGUAAAUCCGACCGUGAAUCUGCAAGAAAUGUAAAUAACACAAGAUGUAUCGUGGUUCACCCCAAGGUUUGGGCUACGUCCAUACUGAUAUUGUAUUUAUGAGAGGAUUGUGAGGGAGAGAACCUCUGUAAUUGUGAGAGGAGAUGUGAGAGGGUGAGGAGGGGGCUUCAGGCCUAAGAGUUGGCCUCCUCUAAUUGUGAGGGUGAGGGGUCCUUUUAUAGAAUAAGGACUCCUCACUUAUUACAUAUUUGCCCUUUCCUUUAUCACAUAAUUACAUUUAAGUCCUCCAAGUAUUUAUACGAGAUAUAAAUACAAGGCCCUAAAUAUGGAAUAAACAGUAGUCCCCUAAGUCUACAGUCAAGAGAGUCUUCUGGCUGGAGACUUGAAAUUCAGUCCAUGUGUGGGCCGAAGUAACUAGAUGUUGUCUUGAACUGAUGCUCGAUAUGAGGCGGUGCUCAAUCUGAAAUGAUGCUUAACUAGAAGUAGCACACGUUGUGAGGCUGCUCGGCUCGUGGUUUAUGUUGCCUUGGUUGGCUCGGCUCGUGGCGUUUGAAGAUGAGGGAGUCCCUUUUAUAGAAUAAGGGCUCACUCCUCAAUACAUGGAUGAUGGACUAGAGUUGAUGCUCUCUAAUGAUGGUGAGGGAGUCUCUUUUAUAGAAUAAGGGCCCACUCCUCAAUACAUAAAUGAUGGGUUAUGAGUGAUGCUCGCGGCGAGGUGGUUGCUCAGCUGGCGGCGAUACUCUCUAAUGAAGGUGAGGGAGUCCUUUUUAUAAAAUAAAGGAUUGCUCCUCGGUACAUGAAUAAUGGGUUAGGAGUGAUGUUCAUGGCGAGGUGAUUGCUCAGCUGGCGGCGGUGCUCUCUAACGAAGGUGAGGGAGUCCCUUUUAUAAAAUAAGGGCUCGCUCCUCAAUAUAUAAGUGAUGGGCUAAGUCCCCCAAGUAUUUUUCAUGAGUGCUCUCUAAUAAAAGUGAAGGAGUCCCUUUUAUAGAAUAAGGGCUCGCUCCUCUGUACAUAGAUAAUGGGCUAAGUCCCCCAAGUAUUUUUCAUGAGGCCCAGUUGAGGCCCAAUAUAUGGUACAUAAUGUAGUCCCCAAGUCUUCAGUAAAUAGAGUUUGUUGGCUGGAGACUUCAAAUUGAAUCCAUGUAUGGGCCGGAGUGGCGGUUGUUCGGAGGCGGUAUUUGUAUACCCUGCACUGAAGCUUUGUAGGUGAAGCUUUAGAGCUCUAUAAAUGACGUUUUUGAAGCUAGAGCUCUGUAAAUAAAGCUUUUGAAGAUGAUUGACAUGAGUGAUGCUCAUGAAUGUUUAUGUUGAUUGACAUGAGUGAUGCUUAUGGAUGUUGUCAUGAGUGAUGCUCAUGAAUGUUAACAUGAGUGAUGCUCAUGAAUGUUGACAUGAAUGAUGGUUAUGAAUGUUUAUGUAUGAUUGUCAUGAGUGAUGCUCAUGAAUGUUUAUGUAUGAAUGACAUGAGUAAUGCUCACGUAUAAUUUGGAGUACUGGGCGUACUUUUGAUCACCUGGUUGGUGGUAUGAAUGAGAGUACGGGUUGUACAUUUCAUCACCUGGUUGGUGGCAUGAAUGGCUAGUUGCCAAAUGAUAUUAGAGUACGGGUUGUACAUUUCAUCACCUGGUUGAUGGUAAUAGCGGCAGGUUGCCGAAUAAUUUUGGAGUACUGGGCGUACUUUUGAUCACCUGGUUGGUGGUAAUAGCGGCGGGUUGCCGAAUAAUUAUGGAGUACUGGGCGUACUUUUAAUCACCUGGUUAGUGCUAUUUCGGGCUUAUGGGCCUUCGCCUUCCACAACAUGCCAGCCCAUUUGUUUUGGGCUUUGCCUUUUUUUUUUUUGUUUUGUAACCCUCUGAUGGGGUUUAUACAGAUAUCUCCGAAAGAUAUGAAAAACAAAUUACAUCAUUCAAACAGUAAGGAAAGUAAACCACAUCAUUUUGGUGGGGUGUUUAUUCCUCCCUUUUGCUUUCUCUUUUCCACCGCAUAUCUCUCUUUUACUGCAUUUAUUAUUCUGUUGCUGAGGUCCAUGUGCAUUAGCCCUGAGAGGCUUUUGCUUUACUUUGCAGAUUGCAGAUGGAAGUAAAGUAAAGUUCUCUUUACUUUGCUUUACUUUGCAGAUUGCAGAUGGCGGGGGCAUGCUUUACUUUGCAGAUAGCAGACAAAAGUAAAGUUUUCUUUACUUUGUUUUACUUUGCAGAUUGCAGAUGGCGGGGGCAUGGACUUGUCUUUCUUUUCUUUUCCUCUUUACACAUAGUCACAGUCAGCACCCUAUUCUUCAUCUGAUCAUUCUUCACAUUCUCCGGUAGCCUGAGCCUCCUUAUGAACUUGCCGCUGCUCCUCCCUCUCCACCCUGUGCCACUUGUCGUUCUUAUCCUCCCGCUCCCUGCUCCUCUUGUCGCUAAUCUACAAAACUCAGAUGGGAAAUCCGGAGUAACCUCACAGAUGCCAGAAAAAUAGGCUGGAACUGGAUAUGGACGUUCAGAUGUAUGGUCAUCAAAACUACUGUGAGUUAGAUCAAUGCCAGUAUCAAUAAACCCAAUAACUACCUCUUAUCCAGCUGAUUCAUAUCCUCCUCCGUGAACCCAUGCUCCUUGUGGUAAACCCAAAAACUGAGGAGUAUAGGUGGUUGCAGUUCUAACAGAAAAGUCCAAAACCACAUUUGCUACUUCUCUCCUCCUCGAAAGCUUUUCAACUUGAUCUUGGGUAACAAACACAACAAACCUGUUUAUCAAGUAGUGGUAGAUGUACAGCUUCAGAUAUUUUCCCCUUAGAACACUCUCCCCAAUAAUGAAUCAUGAACCCAAGUGAUAUAAGAGCUAUACCUACGAUCUGUUAUUGAAAUAUUUCUAAACCUUGGUUUGUGAAUGUUCAACCUCUCAGAAGCACCGCCAUGUUUGACACCGUUUAUACUGCUCAUUCUCAACUCGGCAUCGUAGUGAACAGCCGGAGCUUCUCUGAGAGUGACGAUGUAAACAACCGAGAAGUUAUCAGAAUCUUCUUCUUGACACAAAGAACUCACAAGCAUCCCUAACAGCGGUUGGCAAACGGAUUGGACAGCGGAGUCCGGGUCGCAGAGGCUUUGGUGAUGUUGUUGGGGAGAAGAAACAGCACCCACCUGGUUGGAAACUCAUUCUUCCUCUACAAGUCGGUCGGGUCAGAUCCGGUGACCAUGACGGUGCCGAGCCGGAUAUUGAAGAGCUCCGGCAUUCUUCUGGCGUUUUUCAUGGAAAGGUUGGCAAGCACCGCCAUCUCGACCGAGAUCGGGUUUGCGAAUGUGGAAACCAUCGAGUUCGGAAUCGGGUUGUUGUUAGUGGCUCUGGAUACCAACUGUCCACCAGAAAUGCUCGCGCAUAUCACCUCCUGGGGAGGAACGACAUAUCGCGUUUGAGGUUCCUCUGUACGACAUGUCGUCAAUGUUGAAGUGUUUCCUGCUCUGUCAGGUUCUGUUGAACGAUUCCAAUGGGGUAGAGGUCUUGGGAGAGAGAGACCUUGUGUUGACCAGCUCCACCGUUUGAUCAACUUUUGUUGUUGGUGUUGUUGAUACACAAAAUCAGUGAGGACUUUGGUACAACAGAAAAUGUUAAGUUUGUGACCUUCGCUAGAUUGCUCCGUGAUAGGAGCAUAUUUAUGCGACUUAGUAUGUUUGUUUUCGUGCAUUUAUGUUCUUAGUUCUUAGUUAUGUUAGUAGUUUAAGCCAUUUUUGUGUGUUUGUAGGUUCUAUGGGCCAAGGAUGCAAGAAGAUGCAUUUUGGAGCAUUGUGGAGCAUUUUUGGGCUAAGAUUGGAUGGUGCAAACAUGGAGACAUGAGGAUGGACGUUUUGGGCUUUUGUGUGUGCAAAUGUGUGUGUGUAAUUGCAAGGAUAAACACAUGCAAAGAAGCCCACAUGCAAACUCAAGGCAAGAGAGGGAGAAAACACAUGCAAAAGAAGCCCACAUGCAAAGUGAAGACAAAACUCAUGGCAAAGGUGAAGGAAUUGUGUGUGUUUUUGUGAUUGAAAUGAUGAAGCAUGUGUGUGUAAAUGCAAAGGGGAUCUAAACAUGGACAGCACAUGUCAUGUGCAAAGGAGAAACAAAGAUGACAACACACACAUGCAAAGAAGAAAACAGCAAGAAAGGCAUGUGCAAAAGAGAAACAUGGACAACCAACAAAUUCGUCAAAACUGCCUGUGCAGAUUAGCUGACUUUGAAAGCAUGUUACAAACAGCUCAGAAUGAAUUAGAAAAUGAGCCUUAUAUUCAUGGAAAGCUACGGAUGUCUACUUUCUGGAGCAAUUUACGGAUUGUUAAUAUCAUUUUUCUAGAAGAAGUUAUGGGCAUUGUAACACUGAAAGGUUCAGAAACGUGGACAGCACAUACACAAAGAGAAAGGCAAGGCAUGGAUAGUUUGACAUGGGCAGAAAAAUGGGUGGAUUGUUGGCUGAAAUAAUGAAGAACAUGUGUGUACAAAUGCAAAGGAAAAAACACACACACAUGGGCAAAGGAAACACACACACAUGGGCAUAAAAUGGGUUGAUUUGUGGUUGAAAUGAUGGAGGUCAUGUGUGUGUAAAUGUAAAGGGAAAAACAUGGCAGAAAAUGUGUGUGUUUUGUGGUUGAAAUGAUGAAGCAUGUGUGUGUAAAUGUAAAGAGGAAACAUGCCAACACACACCCACACAAGCUCACAUGCAAAGGAAAUGGAGUGGUCCUCUCCCUAGCCUAUAAAUACAUCCACCCUUCACCAUAACAAGGGGGAAGAAAACCAAAGAGAACACAAUCCACCCAUCCACCCUUCACCAUAACCCACCUAUAUCCAUCCACCACCAUAAUUUACCACUCAUCCAUCAAACCACACCUUGUGCCGCUACAAAGAGAAGAAGAAGGAUCUUGGACGUGCUUGCCAUUCAAAUUGGAUUGUUGGAGCGUUUUUAGGUGUUUUCUUUCUUUUGUUUUCAAUGUUUAAAUUUGUUUAUCUUUGCUUUGUAAGUAUGAGUGGCUAAACCUUACUUAGCUAGGGGGAAGUUCGAAGCCAUGAACAUGCUUGAGAUAUGAAUUGAUUUCUUCCAAUUGUGAUUUAAUAAGUUGUGAAUGCAAUUCAAUUAACUACUUUCUUCAAAACUAAUUCUUGUAUGUUGAUUAAGGAUGCAUAUUUAGUUUUCAUGCAUGAAUUUGAUGCUAGGAUAUAAAUGAGUUUCACCUAAUCGUUACAAGUUUAUAUUCAUUGGUAGUGAAGGUUGCUAGUCACAAUCGCGUUAAUUGAAUUCUUGGCAAACGUAUCAUGCAUUCAUAGUUACGAAUGCCUCGUUAACACUUAUGAUUUUCAUAGAACGUAAUGAUCUUUGAUUGUAUCUCUAUUAUGCAUUCAUGUAGAGGACUUUUGGAGAAUAAUUUGGAUUGUCGUAUGCAUUCAUCCAAUUCAAUAAAUCAAGGAAAAUCUGAGGAUUAAUUAGUGCAUCACGGUUAAUCUAGGGUGUUGAGUUUCAUAAUCUAUUGAAAAGCAAUUGGAAAUCAAUUCAUGUACAAGUGUGUCAUGUGUGAAGAAUGGAUCUCUAGCUAAUCCAUCAACCAUAUAUUUAGUUUUACUUUUUAUCUCAAUCACAACCAAAACCAAUACCCCCCAUUUAUUUUCUUGUAUCAAAGUGUGCUUAAGUUUGUUUUGAACUCUUUGAGUCUAGUUUAGUGUUUUAAAGCCUACUUUUGUGUUUUUUAAGUUUCUUCUUAUAUUUUUGAGUCAAGUGAGAGGUUAUUAGCAAGCCCUCCUAAUCCCCGGUCCAGAACGAUACCCUACUUACAUCUAUACUACAAUUGUCAACAAGAGGGUUUAAUUUGUGUGUCAAGUAAUUCUCACAUCACUCCGGUCACUAGUGUGAUGAGUAAGUAAAUGGAUAGGAACAAGGAAGCAAACACAAGAUAUACGUGGUUCACCCAGAUUGGCUACGUCUACGGAGUAGAGGAGUUCUCAUUAAUUGUGAAGGGUUUACACAAGUACAUAGGUUCAAGCUCUCCUUUAGUGAGUACAAGUGAAUGAUUUAGUACAAAUGACAUUCGAAAAUAUUGUGAGAGAAUGAUCUAUAUUUAUAGAAGAAAUUUUCUAGUUUCAUUCUAACAUUGACAUAUGUCGUGUUGUGAUUGGUUUCUGAUGUUGACACGUGUCGCGCUAUGAUUGGCUUCUGAUGUCGACACGUGUCGCACUGUGAUUGGCCUCCUGGUUGGAGGGAAACUCUUCUGGGUCCUUGAUAGUAUAACGUUGACCGGUGCUCAGUAGUUUCGGGAUUGGUCAAGUAUGGUACAAACAGUGCUCCCCUAAGUUCCCGAGUGAGGGAAGCUCCUUGGUUGGGGACUUGCAAGAUCCAAGCCAUUGAGUAAUCACGAAACUUCUAAGUACCGAAGUGUGGUAUCAUUUUCACUUGCCUUAUAUGUCUCAUAUGUAGAUGUGGUAUCUUCUCUGGAAGUACUUUUCCUCCAUCUAGGGGUGGUAUCUUUAACCGAUGAAGAUGCACAAGGUAAUGUAUCAAUUUCACUUGAAGCUUACUUGUAGUUUCGGGCUUGGUCAAAUGCGAUACAAACCCUAUAGUAGAAGUCCCCCAAGUCGCCGAGCUAGGAGAUUUACCGAAAGAGGUAACAGACAAGGUAAGCAAUCAGACUUCCAAGCAAGCAACCUGGAUCGGAGGUUCGACUUCAGCUUCCGGUUGAUUGUUCUCAUUCUCGUUGUGUCGUAAAUAGCAUCAAGGAUAAGGAGAAGCAAAUGGAGAAGAGAUGAUAUGAGAUACUUUUGCUUUUGAAGAAGUAACUUUUCACAGGCUUAUUCUUGAACUGGGCUGGAGGGUUUUCUGGUUCCCUCCAGAGUAUAAGGCCGACUCAAGAAUUUGAGGGUCAAAACAAGUCCAUCAAAUCUAGAGUACGUUCGACCCUGAUGAUAUGGGAUACUUUUGCUGUUGACAAAGUAGUGGAUGUAUCGGCACGUGUUCUGUUGCGUUUGUCUCCACAUGCUUCCUUGUAUCCUUCUCACUUGCCCUAUCUGUUCCUCAGGCAGAUGUGGUAUCUUCUCUGGAAGCAUAAGAUGUUGAAGAUGAGUACUCGAGAGCAAUGCUAGGUAAGUAAUCAGGCAAGGGGUUCCAGGCAGUCAGUUCCUGACUAGAAGCUUGAUUCCAAGUGCUGACUGAUUGCUCUCUUUCUCUCUGUCUUGCAGGUAAGAACAAGGCCAAGGGAAAAGACAGGGAAAAAGCAUGAUAUGGGAUACUCUUACUUUUAACCCUGAUGAUAUGAGAUACUCUUACUCUGGUGUGGCUUGUUUGCAAAGGUAUUAUCGGGAGGAAAAGAAGCUGAGUAUUUUGAGAGACUCUGCUGAGAAUACCCUCUCGGAUGUGAAGAAAAGUUGAGCAUUUUUUUUUAUUUGCAGGUUUGCCUGGCUGUGGAGGAUGGAGGUCGACAUAUAUCGGAGUAUCCCUAACAACCAGUAGUAGUGCUAUUCUUUUACCCUUCUUGGUCAUAGCAAUGUAGUGGGAGCUGCAAGCUUCACGUGUUUUAACUUUGUCAGAGCACUUUGAAAAAGUGGUAUGUGGUAUCUGGAAAGCUGAUGUUGCGUGUGAAGAUUGUAGACAAGAUUUAUCCAAGGAAAUCUGGCUCUCAAAGUUCAGAGAGCGAUGCCUGUUCGGUUUUCGAACAAGCAAUCAUGUCUGGGAUCUGGCUCUCGAGAUUCGGAUAGCGAUGCCUUUUCGAUUUUUGAGAAAGCAAUCCUGUUGGGAGUCUAGCUCUUGAGAUUCGAAGAACGGUGCCUCUUCGAUUUUUGAGAAAGUAAUCCUAUUGGGAGUUUGGCUCUCGAGAUUCGGAGGGCGGUGCCUCUUCGAUUUUUGAGCAAGUAAUAACGCUAUUCCUUUACCCUUCUUGGUCAUAGCAAUGUAGUGGGAGCUGCAAGCUUCACAUGUUUUAACUUUGUCAGAGCGCUUUGAAAAAGUGGUCUGUGGUAUUUGGAAAGCUGAUGUUGCGUGUGAAGAUUGCAGACAAACUUUAUCCAAGGAAAUCUGGCUCUCGAAGUUGGGAGAGCGGUGCCUUUUCGGUUUUCGAACAAGCAAUCCUGUCGGGGAUCUGGCUCUCGAGAUUCAGAGAACGGUGCCUCUUCGAUUUUUGAGAAAGCAAUCUUGUUGGGAGUGUUUUCUCGAAUGUGAGUAAAGGUUGGACAUUUUUGCCAAUCUGUCUUGCCACGGAGCACGGAGGUUGACACACAUUGGGACUUUCUAGUUAUCAAGCAGUGGUGCUGUUCCUUUACCCUUGUGGGUAAUAGUAGGGUAGCUGGACCUUCAAAAUUUAUGUGUCUAAACUUUGUCAGAGAUCUUUAGCAAAGUUAUCUGUGGUACCCGAUGAGCUGAUGUUGAGUGUGGAAAGUGGUGCCUCUUCGAAAUCCAGAGAGUGGUGCCUCUUCGGAAUCCGGAGUGUGGUGCCUCUUUGAUUUUUGAACCAACGACCCUGUUGCCCUAUCUUUUAUAAGGGCACCAAUUGUGUGCAAAGGGUUCAUUCAGAGAGUUAUUGCUUGUAGGAAUUUUCCCCUUACUUCAGAGAUUUAUUGCACCUCAUUUCUCCUUCAUCAUUUCUGAGAAUGUCUGGCCCAUCCGACCGUCGUUUUGACUUGAACUUUGGUGAAGAGGCAGCCAUGCCUUCUCAAGACAACAUAUGGCGCCAAUCCUUCUUAUCCCCUACUGAUCAUCUUACUGUUGGGGACUCUGUGACGAAGAAUGAUAUGACCGCUGCGGUGGUGGCCAGGAACCUUUUCACUCCUAAAGAUAACAGACUACUUUCCAAACGGUCUGAUGAGUUGGCUGUUAAGGAUUCUCUAGCUCUCAGUGUUUAGUGUGUAGGUUCUAUGUCUAAUAUGGCCCAACGCCUAUUUGCUCGAACCCGCCAAGUUGAAUCAUUGGUGGCUGAAAUGAUAAGUCUCAAACAGGAGAUCAAAGGGCUCAAGCAUGAGAAUAAACAGUUGCACAUGCUCGCACAUGACUAUGCUACAAACAUGAAGAGGAAGCUCGACCAACUGCAUGAAUCUGAUGGUCAGAUUUUACUUGAUCAUUAGAGGUUUGUGGGUUUGUUCCAAAGACAUUUAUUGCCUUCGUCUUCUAGGGCUGUACCGCGUAAUGAAGCUCUAAAUGAUCAACCUUCAGUGCCUCAUCCUUCUAGGAUUCUGCUUAGUAUUGAGGCUCUGAAUAAUCACCCUUUGGUGCCUCUUCUUUUUGAGGCUCUGCCGACUGCUGAGACUUCUCCUGAGCAACCUUUGUGAAAGCUUCCUCUUGUUUGUUUAUUUUGAUUCAUGUAUAUGUAUAUAUUUGUAACUUAUCGGAGAUAUCAAUAAAUAAGCUUUGCUUCAUUUCAACGUAUUGUGUUAAAUACACCAAGGCCUUCUUCACUAAGUUCUUUGAAUUUUUCCUUUUGUUGAAGCUUGUAUGUUGAAGCUUUGUGAGUGAAGCAUGUAGGUUGAGGUAGUGCUCCCUUAAUUUCCCGAGUGAGGAAAACUUCUCGUUUGGAGACUUGAAAAAUCCAAGUCACUGAGUGGUCGUGAGACUUCCGAGUAUCAAGGUGCAGUAGCAUAUGGUAGGAGUCCCCCAAGUCUCCGAUCGAGGGAGUUGACGAAUGAGGCAUUUCCUUUCUAAGUGGUAGCCCAAAACUCUUUCUUCAUAUAUAUUUGUUAUGAAAGUUGUUAGGCUCAAAGAAGAGGAGGCUUAGGCAAAUUUUUUUUUUUUUUUCGAAUUUUUGAAUUUUCGAAUUUUUGAAUUUUCGAAUUUCCGAAUUUUUGAAUUUUCGAAUUGCCGAAAAAAAAAAAUAUAUAUAUAUAUAUUUUAAAGCUUUGUAGGUGAAGCUUUGAGGUUGAAGCUUUGUAGGUGAAGCUUUGAGGUUGAAGCUUUGUUGGGCACCAUGAAUUGAUUUUGCUUCACACUAUCUUGAUCAAGAUAGUGUGAAGUUUUUGUAGGUGAAGCUUUUGUGUUGAAGUUUUGUAGGUGAAACUUUUGUGGGUGAAGCUUUUGUAGGUAAAGCUUUUGUAGGUAAAGCUUUUGUGGGUCAGGCUUUUGUAGGUAAAGCUUUUGUGGGUCAAGCUUUUAUGGGUGAAGCUUUUGUAGGUCAAGCUUUGUUUGGCACCAUGAAUUGAUUUUGCUUCACACUAUCUUGAUCAAGAUAGUGUGAAGCUUUGGAGUUGAAGCUUUGUAGGUAAAGCUUUUAUGGGUCUAGCUUUGGAGUUGAAGCUUUUGUUGGGUACCAUGAAUUGAUUUUGCUUCACAUUAUCUUGAUCAAGAUAGUGUGAAACUUUUGAGAAUUUGUAGUUGUCCUUUAUUGAUGAAGCUUUUGUUGGGUACCAUGAAUUGAUAUUGCUUCACACUAUCUUGAUCAAGAUAGUGUGAAGCUUUUGAGAAUUUGUAGUUGUCCUCCAUUGAUGAAGCUUUUGUUGGUGAAGCUUUGGAGUUGAAGCUUUUGUUGAAUUUCCUUUUUUUUUUUUUUUUUUUGGGAAACUAGAAAUUUGAAAAUGUGGGAGAGACAACAUAUACAAAUUUUGCUUCCACACUGUUGAGCAAGAGAUUGUGAUGCAAGCCACACCUUGUAGUAGUCGAAGAUUUGGAUGAACCAUAUAAAUUGAAUUUGCUUCAAACAGUCUUGAAUUUGCUUCGAAGGUUUGAGAAUUGUAGUUGCCUUCCAUUGAUGAAGCUUUUGUUGGCAUCAUAAAUUGGUUUUGCUUCACACUGUCUUGAUCAAGAGUGUGUGAAGUUUUUGAGAAUUGUGGUUGAACUCCUUUGAUGAAGCUUUUGUUGAUACCAUAAAUUGGUUUUGCUUCACACUGUCUUGAUCAAGGAUGUGUGAAGCUUUUGAGAAUUGUGGUUACCCUCCAUUGAUGAAGCUCUUGUUGGCACCAUAAAUUGGUUUUGCUUCACACUGUCAUGAUCAAGAGUGUGUGAAGCUUUUGAGAAUUGUGGUUGCCCUCCAUUGAUGAAGCUCUUGUUGGCACCAUAAAUUGGUUUUGCUUCACAUUAUCUUGAUCAAGAGUGUGUGAAGCUUUUGAGAAUUGUGGUUGCUCUCCUUUGAUGAAGCUCUUGUUGGCACCAUAAAUUGGUUUUGCUUCACAUUGUCUUGAUCAAGAGUGUGUGAAGCUUUUGAAAAUUGUGGUUGCCCUCCAUUGAUAAAGCUCUUGUUGGCACCAUAAAUUGGUUUUGCUUCACACUAUCUUGAUCAAGAGUGUGUGAAGCUUUUGAGAAUUGUGGUUGCCCUCCAUUGAUGAAGCUCUUGUUGGCACCAUAAAUUGAUGAAGCUAAUGUGUUCACCUCUUCCCCCCCCUUUUUUUUCGGAUUUUUUUUUUAGGGGGAGAUGGGGUGCUGCAAGUUUGAAAUUUGAAAACUCCUUAGCUUGUGUGGAAGUUUGAAAACUUUCCAUGUAGGGUUUUCUCAUGGUUUGAAUUUUGAAUUUUGAAUUUCUUUGGCCAUGUUGAACCCUAUAAGAAUGAGAAGUUUCCACUCUUUUCAUUGUCUUCAUUUGCUCAUUUUGUAGUGAUUUUUGGAGAUAGAGUGCUCUUAUAGUUGAGAGGGAUUCCGGCAUUGCUUUGCACCAUCUUCAGGUUGGUAGUCUUCUCCACUAGAUCACAUGCUUUCAUUCUUGUUGAAUUGUUUGAGUGUUCAUGUAUUUGGUUGAGAACAUAAUGAAUUGAUUGAGCUUUUCUCCACGCCCUAGGAACUUCCUUAUGUUUCGAUCUUUCAUGUGGUGAUAGAGUUUAUUUUUGUUUGUUGUAGAUGUUAGAGUUUGGAAGUCUUAGUGAUGGGGGCUCCCUUAACUCUAACUCUAGGUUUGAGCUUGCAAUGUUGGAGUCUUCAGGGCUUUUGGAGUCUUGUACAAAAAAUUCAAGAUUGGGUGAUCUUCGCAAUUGCCAAGCUUUAGCCAAUAUUUGUUCUUCCUCCUUCAUGUCAGUGGGUGAGGGGGUUGUUUGUGACGCCAUACCCAUAUUUCGCUCUGAGUUCACAGCAGACCAUUUAGUGCAAAACUUGUUAGAUAGCGAAAAGCAGCUUGAGGCCCUAAGGCAAUCAUGCAGUAUCCCCCGUAGUGUAGGAAUGCGUUUGGUGCAUCAUGAAGAAUUGUCCUCUGAACCACCCAAGGGUCAUGUUAUGUUCUAUACCCAGAUAUUAUUUAUUUUAGGGGUGAAGCUGCCUUUGCACCCGUGGUUGCAACGGAUGCUGUCUUUUAUUGGAUAUGUGCCUGGGCAACUCUACCCUGGUUUUUGGGAUACCUUGAUCGGGUUUUAUAUUAUUUGGAUGGAAUGUGGGUUAGGUGAGCCUUCCUUUCGUCAAUGGCGCUACUGCUAUAAGAUGCGCCCGGUGAAAGCAUGCACUGGGUAUGCCGAGUGUGCAUGUCGUAGUAAGAGAGAGCGUAUUGUCUUUGGUAAGAAAAAGGCGUACUGCACUUAGAAAAACUGUUGGUGCUUUCUUUAUAAUGAUUGGGAGUAUGCUAAAGGUGUCACGCCUGAGCGAUGUGUUCCUACUCACUUCCAAACUGUAGGUUGUAAUGUAUCCAUUGUUUGCAUUAUUUGAUAUUUAUCGUGAUUUUCUCUUGCUUCUAACAUUUUUUCUUCGUGCAGUGACGCGAGGGACCAUCAAGCUGUCUGGACGAGAGCUAGCUGACGUAGAGAAGGUGUUGAGGGUACCCAAAGAGGAUAGACAUUUGGGCAAGCUAUGACCCUUAUUUCGAAAGUACGGUUUCCAGCCCUUAGUGUCGGAGUGCCAGAGACGAACAAGUAAGUUGUGUCUUUCAUUUCGCCCCUUCUUUCUUUUACAAAGUUGCAUUCCUUACUUUGGUUUUUCAUAUUAAGUGGAGAAAGUGGGCAAGAAAGGGGAGACUAACGCCAAGAAAGGGAAAGCACCCAUGUUAGUUCUUGUAGACGACAUUUUAUUUCACAAGGGAGCUCGUAAACACCGGGUGAGGCCAACCCCUAAACCUAAGUCGCAAAAUAAGGUCUUCAAGAUUGCUACCUCAAAGAAGGCUGAAGCUGAGGCCAUUGGGUGUGCUGCUACCAUAGUUGCAGGGGAGGAGAGACAACUGUUGCCUCCUCUUCCUACCAUCAAUCCCAUAUUUCCUCCAACCAUGGAGUCUACUGACUAUGAAGGUGGCCCUAGCUGUAGCCGUAAGAGAAAGUACAAGGAAGAGGUUGGCAGCAUUCCUUGGAAGGACUUGAAGGUUGCCAUGUAGCCAAGUAGUUUUAGGUAUGUCAAUAAUUGCCUGGCAGGACGUCGAUCCACUGUUGUUGAGCUUGGCGAGCCACUAGAGGAGAACGAAUCAGAUCGUGACCGGAUGAUGAGGCUAUCUUCUUAUGUAAGUGUUACUUUGUCAUUUCUCUGCUUUCUCCCUUUUUUUCCUGGUAGUGACGAUUAUCUUGUCAUGUAGGUUAUGACCGAGUACGAUGACAGAUUGCGAGAAUUCGAGCGGUACAAGGCAAAGUUUAAAGAGAAUAAGCAGUUUGUGAAUGAUGCCAGAAAAACGAGCAAAGCUUUGGCUGAUGCCAUCCGCCUUAAGGAUGAAAACUUUGAGAGUUUGAAGAGGCGGAAUGGUGAGAACGUGAGGCUCAAGAAACAAUUGGAAGCGACUAAGGAACAGUUAGAGACAACCAUCCUUGAGGUUUCCAAGGUUAAAGGGGAGUUGGAUAGUGCCUUGGUUGAGGUUUAUAGGCUGAAAAGGAGUAUCCCAACUGAAAGGGAUGCUGCUGUGCAGGAGUUCUUUGGUUCCCAGGCCUUUCACGAUGCUUUUAGACCUCACUGCAUCCGAGCGACUAAUUUUGAGAAAAGGAAAUGGAUGGCCGUCCUUGAGCGUUACGACAAUGGAAGCAUUAUCCGAAAGUACCGUGAUGAGAUGGAUGAGUACUGACAAAAGGGUGAAGCCUUCGUCUUCGCAGUUGAUCCUAGUAGUAAUGAUGACUCUGAUAAUGAGGCUAGUAUCAGUGAGCAGUCUCAGGAGAGUGAGGAUGGUCCUGGAGAUGCUGAGGAAGGUGCUGAUGACGAUGGGGUUGAAACGCAGAGUGAUAUUGUUAGGGGUUCGGCCUCAGAUGAGGAUGACUCGUAGUGCCCUCUUUUUCUGCAUGUACUCUGGAUGUACGAGUUUGUUGUUUGUGUGGCAUGUGCCAUGUACUCUGGAUGUACUAGUUUGUUGUUUGUGUGGCAUGUGCCAUUUACUUUGGAUGUACUAGUUUGUUGUUUGUGUGGCUUGUGCCAUGUACUCUGGAUGUACUAGUUUGUUGUUUGUGUGGCUUAUGCCAUGUACUCUGGAUGUACUAGUUUGUUGUUUGUUACCAAGUAUUUGCAUUAUCAUUGAUGAAUGUCUGCCUAUGUUUGAGCAAAUCCUUUGUUUAGAUAUAAGCCAUAACUUGGAUGUACUAGUUAUGUCCAGUACUGUUUGUUUAUUUGUAUAGUCUUGUUGACAUAUACUUAGACUUGAUUUCCUGUUGGAAGCAUUCAUGUUGAAGCUUUGAACCCGAGUGUUUCAUUGCUAGGAAUGUAAGAGGAUUACGAUCGAGUUGUCUAAAUCACCUCUUUAUUGAAUUCAUGCCAAAUAGUUUUCGUUACAUAGGAUGCCAAACGGCUGAAGCUUAACAUUUGUACAAUGUGAGUUUACUUGUAAUAGUACUUCAAGUGAUCAGCGUUCCAUGGAUGGCCAAUGGUCUUGCCAUCGAAGCUUCUAAGCUUGUAGGAGCCAGGGCGACUGAUGCCAACAACUUCAAAUGGUCCAUCCCAGUUUGGACUAAGUGUUCCUUCACUCGGGACUCUGUCACAGAGUAAUCUUUUCUUUAAUACCCAGUCCCUUACUUUGAAAGAACGAGGUUUGACCCUAGAGUCAUAAUAGUUGGAGAUGCGCUACUUGUAGGCGACAUUCCUCAAGUGAGCCUGGUUUCUGUGUUCCUCGACUAGAUCUAAGUUGAGGGUAAGUUGCUUGUCAUUUUCGUUUUGCACGUAGUUCUGGACUCGGAACGUUGCUUGCUCAAGCUCAACUCAGACAACUGCCUCUGUACCAAAAGCAAGUGAAAAUAGGGUUUCUCUUGUUGAUGUCCGAUACGAAGUGCGGUAUGACCAAAGAACUUGAGGUACAAAUUCUAGCCAACAACCUUUAGCCUUGUCCAAGCUGGUUUUCAAAGUUCGCUUGAUCAUUUUGUUGAUGGCUUCAACUUGUCCAUUAGACUGGGGAUGAGCUGGGGAGGCAAAACAUAAGUUGAUGUUGAACUUAGAGCAGAACAUCAUGAACUUAUUGUUGUCGAACUGUCGCCCGUUGUCAGUGACUAUCGCAUUGGGAAUGCCGAAUCUGCAAAGGAUGUUCUUCCAUACGAAGUCUUCUAUUUUUGCCUCAGUAAUGGUUGCCAAGGGUUCUACUUCGGCCCACUUUGUGAAGUAGUUAACUGCAACGAUUGCAUAGCGAACCUUGCCCUUCCCUGCAGGCACUGUGCUGAUCAAAUCAAGUCCCCAUUGGGCGAAGGGCCAAGGGCUGAUCAUAGGAGUGAGCGGCUCGGGAGGGGAGUAAGGAAUAGUUGCGUAUCGUUGAUACUUAUCACAUGAGCGGGAUAUUCUGAUGGCAUCUUGGUGGAGUGUUGGCCAGUAAUAUCCUUGGCGAAAAGCCUUGUGUGCUAGGGAUCGAGAUCCAGCAUGAUCUCCGCAGACUCCUUUAUGUAUUUCCCGAAGGACAGUUUCCGCCUCUGCCGGCGUAAGGCAUCUUAGGUAUAGUAGGUUAAAACCCCGCUUGUAAAGUUGGUUAUUAAUGAUCAAGUAACGGGUAGCCUUGUAUCGAAUCUGCUUAGCUUGAACUUUGUCAUUUGGAAGGGUGCCAUGAGCAAGGAACCUAUAAAUUGGGGUAAUCCAACUAUCCCCUUGUUGUAAGUUGCACACUUCCGCAACCAUGGUGCUUGGUGCUACCAACAAUUCGACUUGAAUUUUUCUCCCAAUCUUGUCUUCCACCGCUGAGGCAAGGCGAGCCAAAGCAUCUGCAUGACUAUUUACCGCUCGAGGAAUUUGGGUGAUCUGGUAGUGGAAGUGCUUAAGCAACAAUUGUGUUUAUGCCAGAUAUGCAGCCAUUGAGCUAUCCUUAAUGUCAAAGUUGUUGGUGACCUGGUUAACCACCAAUUGGGAGUCACUGAAGAUAUCAAUUCGUUUAACCCCAAGGUGUUUGGCCAAACGUAAGCCUGCUAGGAGGGCUUCAUAUUUGGCCUCAUUGUUCGAAACCUUGAAUUUGAAACGAAUAGCAUACUCCAUUGCCACUUUGUUAGGGGUCAUAAGGACUAGUCCUGCUCCACAACCCUGUUAGUUGGACGAGCCAUCAACAUAUAGACUCCAUGCUGGGGCUGUUGGUUCUAUUUUCUGAGCUUCCGAGGGUAAUGAAACCACUUCUUUAGGUGUAGAAACAAUGUCAACAUGAUAUGUGAAGUCGGCGAUAAAGUCUGCCACUGCUUGGCCCUUCUCAGCUGGCUUUGGUUAGUAGGAGAUGUCAAACUCACCCAAUGCUAUUGCCAAUUUGAUCAUUCGCCCAGAAGUGUCAGGACUUUGGAGUAUCUGUCGAAGAGGAUGAUUGGUAAGCACGAUGAUGGAGUGUGCUUGGAAGUAAGGGCGAAGUUUUCGAGCAGACAUGACCAAUGCUAGAGCCAAUUUCUCAAUGUUGGAGUAUCGUGUCUCCGCAUCUUGUAAGCCCUUGCUAGCGUAGUAAAUAGGCCGUUCGACAUUACCAUCCAUUCGAAUGAGAACAGAACUUACUGCUGAAGCCGAUACCGACAAAUAGAUAAUGAGAGUGUCACCAACCUCAGGUUUGGAGAGCAAAAGGGCUUUACUCAUGUAGUCUUUGAGGUUCUUGAAUGCCUCAGCACAUUCAUUAGUCCAUGUAAUGUACUUCUUACUUCCCUUAAGUGAUUUGAAGAAAUGAGCACAUCUGUCUGUGGCCUUAGAGAUGAACCUAGUUAAGGCUGCCACCUUGCCGGUAAGGCUCUGGAUGUCUUUUGAAGUUACCGGUUCCUUCAUAUUGAGGAUUGCUUUGAUCUUCUCGGGAUUAGCCUCAAUGCCUCGUUGGCUCAUUCGAUACCUCUUUAGAAUGGUGAAAGUUUCAGAUAGGUUGGUAAUGUGUUGGUCAGCAUGUUUGCUCUUGACUAGCGUAUCAUCAACGUAAACUUCCAUGCUCUUCCCAAUCUGUUCGGUGAACAUUGAAUUAACCAGUCUUUGAUAAGUUGCUCCUGUAUUCUUUAGGCCGAAAGGCAUGACUUUAUAGCAAUAUAGUCCCCUAUCAGUAGUGAAGGAUGUGUGUUCUUGGUCCGGAAGGUUCAUCAGGAUUUGGUUGUAUCCUGAGUAAGCAUCCAUGAAGCUCAGAAGUUCACACCCUGCCGUAGAGUCUAUAAGUCUGUCUAUGAGAGGAAGAGGAAAGCUAUCCUUCGAGCAUCCUUUGUUUAAGUAGGUGUAAUCGACACACAUUCUCCACAAGACCUUUUGGAGCAGAAGACUUUCCUUGGUCGGAUUCUUCUUAACAAGGACAACAUUUGCUACCCAUGUUGGAUAAUUGACUUCGCGGACGAAGCCUAUGCCUUUGAGUUUUUCAACUUCUGCCUUCAUUGCCUCAUACCGUUCAACGUCAUAAGAUCUUCGCUUCUGUCUCACUGGCUUGGUCUUGGGGUCAAUACUUAAACGAUGACAGAUGAUAUCGGGAGAGAUGCCUGGCAUGUCCUUGUAUGACCAGGCGAAGACCUCAGUGUUCUCUUGCAAAAAAGAGAUCAAUGCCAACCAAAUGGAUGGUGACAAGGUGGUACCAAUCUUCACUAUGCGAUCCGGAUAAUCUUUUGAGUUAGAGACCUUCUCCAACUCUUCAGCGGGUUGUGCUUGCUGGGUGAAAGAGUCAUCUCGAGGAUCGUCGGGUUAACUGUUGCUACCGUGAAGAUCCAAGUUGGCUUCGUCUGGGCUGGCCUUUAUGACUUGAUCAUGUAUAGAAAGGGUUUCCUUGGGCACAAGCAUGUGCUGUUGCUUAACCGAAGUGUUGUAACAUGAUCGUGCACUAAGUUGAUCUCCUCUGAUGUAACCAUUGCCAUAAGGGGUUGGAAAUUUCAUCAACAACAUAUGUGUGGAUACCAUGGCCUUAAGAUCAUUGAUGCAUGUGCGUCUGAAGAUGACAUUGUAUGCCGUUGGGCAAUCAACCUCCAGGAAGUUAGUGGUAAUGGUAGCUGUGUAAGGGCCUGUACCAAUGGUGAAAGGUAAGUGUAUGCUUCCCAAAGGUUGCACGAUAUCACUGGAGAAGCUUAUCAAAGGGGAAAUCGAGCGAUCGAGCAAGUGUUCAGCUACAUUAAGUGCCCUGAAAGCUUCAGCAAACAUGAUAUUGACCGAAGCCCCCCGUGUCUACCAGGAUUCGUCGUACUUCAAAGUUGGCUAUGUGAGCUUCCACGAUCAGUGGGUCGUUGUGAGGGUAGAUGAUACCUCUUUCUUCCUCAAGGUAGAAACAUAUGGAUCCCAGUUAGGCUUUUGAUACUUACCUCCCCUGAUGUCUUCCACGUGAAACACUUGGUGGCCAGACCUUAAAGAUCGUUCACUAUUUUUCAUGGCCCUGUUGGAAGAUUUAGAUAUAGGUGUGCCACCACUUAUGGAAUAUAUCACAUUUACCUGGCGUUGGUUACGGUUACCCCUUGGAGUGUGAAUGAGGAAUUGAUCAAUUUUUCCUUCAUGUGCCAAAGCUUCAAUAUGAUCACGAAUGGUGAUACACUUCUCGCCGUCAUGGCCGUUAUGCUCGUGGUUGCAGCAAAACGUGCUCGUAUUCUUCAUGGGCUUGUAAUCCGGGUGCCUCGGCUUUGGCUUCGGUAUCAAGUGUGCUAUGCUGGGGUAAAUGACCACACAUGUGGCGUUCAAAGGUGUGUAUGCCUCAUACCUCGGGGUAGAGGCUGUCCUGACACGUGCUUGACCCACUGUGUUGACUGCCUGGGGUCGGGGAUUAUCAUGGUGAUACCAUUGGUUAUCGCGGUAAUGUCCCUUACUCUUUUUACUAAAAUGAGACUGGUAAGGAUGGAAAUCUUUCCUUUUACCCUGAAAUUGAUAUGUCUGUUGACUUGGCGAAGUAUUAAGUAAGGCAGGGGGAGGCACCGCUGCUGUUUGGAAGGUCGAGGUCUUCUCAUUUGGUUAGAUCUGGCUUCCACUCCCUACUUGCCGAUUGUGAGGGAGAGAACCUCUGUAAUGUGAGAGGAGAUGUGAAAAGGUGAGGAGGGGGCUUUAGGCCUAAGAGUUGGCCUCCUCUAAUUGUGAGGGUGAGGGGUCUUUUUAUAGAAUAAAGACUCCUCACUUAUUACAUAUUUGCCCAUUCCUUUAUCACAUAAUUACAUUUAAGUCCCCCGAGUAUUUAUACGAGAUCUAAAUACGAGGCCCUAAAUAUGGAUAAAUAACUCACGUUUCCUUACUUCAAUUUCUUGAUUCUUCACACAUUGAUUUAUGAACAACAUUUAACCACCAAAUCAUAAGAUUAAAUCUCACAUUUUCCACCAAUCUCCUUCACAUUGCUCAAUUCCCCAAACAAGGCUAUUGUCUUAAUUAUUUAGUCUCAUUUAUUGUAUGGUUGCAUCUAACGUCUCGUUAGACUGCCUACGUACCCUAAACAGGGAUCAAGCCAUUCGUAGUUCACACUAGUACUUCAAAGCAUUCACAAUAAUUAUAUGUAGGUAAUAUGCAUAAAUCAAUUUAAAAACGUUUGUGGAAUUAUCAAUCAUAUAUAUAUAUAUAUAUAUAUAUAUAUAUUAUACACGAUAGAAAGGAAAAGACCCACUCACCUAAGGUUCGCACUACGACUCCUUAGCACGCAUAUCGAGACAUCAUAAACCAAUGUCGCCUAGAACAAUUAUCAAAUCACGUCUCAGAGUUCUUACCAAUAGAAUACAUAAUUUAUAGAAAAAACACAUCCCCACGUAAUUCACUCCGGAAGAUCUGCAUCACGGAUUUCCGAUCUGUUACUUCCAAAGAUUCACAUUAUGUUCCUAGAACAACGUCCUAAUAUUUCAUUAUGAUCCAACGGUCGGAUCUCCGCCAAUUGUCAAAACCAAGUGGCGGUCAACAUUUUAUUUUAUGAACUGACAAAUCCAAUUUGGGAAGAUCCAUAUGUCGGAUUCCCGAACCGUAAGUUCUAUGGUCCUCAAAUAUUACGUAUUAUAAUGUAUUAAAGUUUGGUGACGAUCUAACAGUCAAAUUGUCGAUUCACACUUUUACCAAAUAACGUGACGUAGAGAAUUUAGGUUCCAACCAUCAACCUAAGUCAUACAGUUACCAAGAUUGAACUCAAGGCAUCUAAUUUAUCCUAAGAAUGACAUUGACGGCCCCCUGGCCACGCACCGCCGUGGGUGGCAAUCGGCCGCCUUGACUCGCCGAAAAAUCCAACUAUUUCUAAAAAUUACCAAAUUUUACGGAAAUGAAGAUCUCAAUGAGUAGAACAAAUUUUAUACCUGUGGCUAAGUCCAAUUUCACUCAAACCCGCCGGAAACCCUAAGAUUGGUGUUUUUCGAUUCGACUUCCUCGAUGUUCCAACACCCCUACAACUGCUUGGGUCUUGCUCCUAGGUCCAAGAGGAGUUGAUUAAGGGUGGUGGUGGGUGGUGAAACUCGCUGGAUCGGAGGAAUCACUGUCGAACACCUCCAGUGCUCCGGUGAUGUUCUUCGCGUUUUUGGGCCUAAAACUCUUCAAUCUUGAGUGAAGAUGGAAGAAGAAAGAUUGGGGAAACAAAAUGGCAGAAAAUGGCUGGAUUUUGACUGGUUUGGGUGUGCCGGUGGAUUGGCUGACGAGAAGGUUUUUUUUUUUUUUUUUUUCCUUCUCCCUUCCUGAUUGGUUCUUCUUUUCCUCUCUUAAAAUUGAUUGGUUACCACUCCCACAUGGUGGGAGUUUGAAUUAAUUUAUAACUAAACUUUAAAUAACCAAUUUCAAAUGUCUGUAACUAUACUGAUAUAAUCCGAACUCGCAAAUGGCUUUCGCCUAUGCGUUCAUACCAACGAGUACUACACAAAUGCGCUAAGUGAAUAAGUCAUACAUUUCUCUACAGGUUCGUUAAUGAAAGUCAAAACCUUCACCUCUAGGGCAUUUUCGUAAAUUCAUUCUUUUAAAAUUUAUAAAAUCGUAAAACUAGGGACGGGUUGUCACAUAGAAAUACAUUAUCACAUUAAUUUCAAGGACUUCGAUCAAAAAUUGAAAACCAACAAUUUAUCAGUCAAACCUGGAAAAUACUACACACAUGAUCAUAUUAUAGCUUCCUUGGAGAAAAUUUUGUAUUUAGUUAGCACUAUUAUGGCCCUGUGCUACAUCCUGGUUUCAUAAACAUUUACAAGAGAAAACCCAAAAAACUCUUGGUAGAAGCGGCACCACUCCUUAUGUUUAUAUAGGUGAGGUUACUUGUAUAUGUUCCUGUUAUUCGAACAUCUUAUAUUAUUAUACCUCAUUAAGAAUUUAAAUUUCAUCCUCUAUAUCACUUAUCAGUAACUUGUUAUUACCCAUUGAACUUCGGUCUAGUGAUGUUCUAGGCAAAGUUAGGUUACCAUUACUGGUGAUUUAUAGUAAAUGGUUUCAGCCCCAUUCCACUAGAUGUACUUUGUACCAUAUCUCUCGAGAGUCCCUUAGUAAAAAGAUCUGCCAAAUUUUUCUUUAACCUUACCUAAGUUAUGUUCACAACUCCUUGUGUUAUUAUCUGUUUGACAAAUUCAUGUCUAAAGCUAAUAUGUCUAGAUUUGCCAUUAUAUACUUUGCUAUAAGCUCUAGACAAUGUAGCUUCAUUAUCGUAAUACAAAGAAAUAGAUGGCAUUGGUUGUGGCCACAACUCUAUGUCAGACAAUAAAUCUUUCAACCAUUAUGCUUCUUUGCAUGCGGCUGUUAAUGCUAUAUGUUUAUACCAUACUUAGGGCCUUCGUAUUUAGAUCUCAUACAAAUACUCGGGGGACUUAAAUGUAAUUAUGUAAUAAAGGAAGGGGCAAAUAUGUAAUAAGUAAGGAGCCCUUAUUCUAUAAAAGAACUCCUCACUCUCACAAUUGGGAGAGGCCAACUCUUAGGCCUGAAGGCCCCUCACCCUCUCACAUCCCCUCUCACAUUACAGAGGUUCUCUCCCUCACAAUCCUCUCAGAGAAAUACAAUAAUCAGUGUGGACGUAGCACAAACCUUGGGGUGAACCACGAUACAUCUUGUGUUAUUUACAUUACUUGCAGAUUCACGGUCGGAUUUACGUUGUCCCAAGACCUGCGGUUUUGUGCAUCAACAUUUGGCGCCGUCUGUGGGAAUCGACACGAAAACCAGGUACCCAAGAACCUGCAGAAGCCCAAGAACCAAAGUCACUGCAAAAACCAGGUACCCCUUGGGUCGGAUCAUCGGCGGCACCCUCUGACACACCCCGAUCCUAAAAUCAGGGCGUGACAGACCAUUUUGUCACAUCCCGGCCCGGGGCAGACCACUUCCCGGGCCCGUUCCACCACUGUAACACGAUAUUGUCCGCUUUGACCCCCAACCACGGCCUCAUGGUUUUGUUUCUGGGAACUCACAAUCAACUUCCCAGUGGGUCACCCAUCAUGGGAGUGCUCUGGCCACCUUCUCGCUUAACUUCGGAAUUCCAAUGGAACCCGAAGCCAGUAAACUCCCAAAAAGCCUCAUACUAGGUAGGGAUGGGAAUAUACAUUUAAGGAUCACUCCCCUGGGCGAUAUGAGAUGUUACAAUCCACCCCCCUUAGGGGCCCGACGUCCUCGUCGGCACACUUCCGGCCAGGGAUUGGCUCUGAUAUCAUUUUGUCACAUCCCGGCCCAGGGUGGACCACUUCCCCGGCCCGUUCCACAACCGUAGCACGAUAUUAUCCACUUUGGCCCCAAACCACGCCCUCACGGUUUUGUUUCUAGGAACUCACGAUCAACUUCCCAGUGGGUCACAUAUCAUAGAAGUGCUCUGGCCACCUUCUCGCUUAACUUCGGAGUUCCAAUGGAACCCGAAGCCAGUGAGCUCCCAAAAGGCCUCGUACUAGGUAGGGAUGAGAAUAUACAUUUAAGGAUCACUCCCGUGGGCGAUGUGGGAUGUUACACCCUCUACCCUGGCCUCAUGGUCACCACUGCUAGGGGUGGGCACGGUUUUGUUCGGUGCGGUUUUGAGUGAAACUGAAACCGAAAUUGAUUUUUUUCGCGGUUCGGUUCGAUGCGGUUUUGAAGCCAAAACCAAAAUGAAUCCAAACCGUUUGGUUUGGUUCGGUGUGGUUUCAAACGGUUUCGGUUUGGUUUUUAAGAAAAAAUGUACAAUUUGCAAUUUAACAUAUUAAUAAGCAUUUUUCAAUAGUAAUAGGAAAAAGACAUUUGUUAUGUAAACAAUUAGCAUGUUGUAUGCAGUUGUGAUGUUAAAACAUGUUUGUGCAAUAAAAGGGUGUCCCUUACAAUGUUUAUCAUAAAACAAGUUGAAUAAAUUUGAAUUCAUUAAACAUGAGCAAAACUUUGAUACUAGAAUAUGUGAUAUCAUGCUUCAAAUGAGUGGACUUCAUUAAAUCAUUGUUCGACUCUUGAUAACAAGAUUAGUCCACCCUUGUACAUAUAUGUGUGUGUGUGUGUGAUGGUAUAAAAUAACAAAGGUCCUUCAAGUUAAUGAACAAAAGAAAGUGAUGAAUGAUGAUAUUCUAGUAUGGUUAAGUCACAUACUAAGUAUAUGGAUUCUAACAAACAACCAAUUAAAACAUGAAAUCUAAUAUAGACAUUUAAUUAAAUGUUUAUUAAUAUUUGCGGUGCGGUUCGGUUUCGGUGCGGUUUUCAAAAGCCAAAACCAAAACCAAAUCGUUUUCUAUGUUGCGGUUCGGUUUCAAAACCGAAACAGUUUCAAAACCGAAACAGUUUCAAAACCACAAAACCAAACCGUUCGGUGCGGUUCGAUUUGAUUCAUGUUUUGGUUUUGGUUUUCGGUUCUAAGUGCCCACCCCUAACCGCUGCCAUCAUUUAUUGGGCCCUCCGAGUCCUUAGCUUCGCCGUACACAUUCGUAAAGUCUGCGUCCUGACCGCUCCAUUUUUUGCCUCCAACACCACCCUCGUAGCAUAUUUCUUCGGUAAACUGAUUUGGGACACCAGCGCCGGCCUUGUCGCCGUCGCAUUGAUCGUCAUUUGCCCAGGCUACAUCUUCAGAUCGGUGGCCGACUCCUACGACAAUGCGGGUGUCGCCAUUUUUGCCCUGCUGCUGACGUUUUACUUGUUCAUCAAGGCUAUCAAUACCGGCUCGCUCGCUUGGGCGUUGGGCUCCGCAUUGGGCUACUUUUACAUGGUCUCUGCCUUGGGAGGUUAUAUCUUUAUAAUCAACUUGAUUCCCAUUUACGUUUUGGUGCUUUUGAUCACCGGGCGAUAUUCCAUGAGGUUGUAUGUCGCCUACAAUUGCACUUAUAUUCUCGGAAUGUUACUCGCUAUGCAAAUUCGCUUUGUCGGCUUUCAGCACGUUUAGUCUGGGGAGCACAUGGCUGCCAUGGGCAUCUUCUUCUUGAUGCAGGCGUUGGUGGUGUUGCCUUGGGAGUCGGCACUGCAUCUGGCUAUAUCUCUCCAUGGACAAGGUGGUUUUAUUCCUUGCUAGAUCCAACAUAUGCCAAGGAUCACAUUCCUAUUAUUGUAUCUGUCUCUGAGCACCAACCGACGGCUUGGUCAUCUUUUAUGUUCGAUUUUCAUAUCUUGCUCUUCUUUUUCCCUGUCAGUCUCUACUUCUGCUUCAAGCGUUUGUCAGAUGCCACCAUAUUUGUAGUAAUGUAUGGUCUUACAAGCAUGUACUUUGCUGGUGUCAUGGUUCGGUUGAUUCUUGUUGCCACACCUGCAGUUUGUCUUAUUAGUGCCAUUAAUGUCUCUGCGACUAUAAAGAAUUUGACACAGUUGGCAAGGGCAAAGGACAAGGUUUCCCAAACUGGUUCCACCAAAGGCGCUAGUAGCACAAGGGGUUCUUCAAAGCACAGCUGUUUCCUUUCUGUCAUCGUCCUCGGUUGCAACAAACAAAUUAGAUAUGGCUUCCUUUAAUCAUCCAACUACUUUUGAAAACUGUGUAAAGAAAAAGUGGUGCAGUCAUAGAGGGGUCAUGUGCUCACAAAGAAGAAAAGCAAAAGCACUGACAGAAGCAAUGUUAUUGGUAGAUUUAGAUCAAAAUCCACUGCGCCUACACAGAAAAAAAAGAAAGUGAAAAGAGAAAGCAAAAGGGAAGCACAUGGGGACACUGCAAAAGUAAGGAAUAAACACCACACCAGAAUGAUAUAAUUUAUUUUUGUUAGCUUUCGGAGACAUCUGUAUAAACCCCAUCAGAGGGUAAUAAAAAAAACAGAAAAGCCCAAAAUAAAUGGGUUGGAAUGUUGUGUGGAGGGCGAAGGCCCAUAAGCCCAAAAUAGCACCAACCAGGUGACAAAAAGUACGGCCAGACUACAAAAAAUUAUUCGGCAGCCUGUCGCUAUUACUACCAACUAGGUGAUCAAAAGUACGUCAAGUACUCUAAAAUUAUACACGAGCAUCACUCAUGACAAUCAUACAUAAACAUUCAUGACCAUCAUUCAUGUCAACAUUCAUAAGCAUCACUCAUGUCAACAUUCAUGAGCAUUACUCAUGUCAACAUCCAUGAGCAUCACUCAUGUCAAUCAACAUAAACAUUCAUGAGCAUCACUCAUGUCAAUCUAGCUUCAAAAGCUUCAUUUACAAAAGCUCUAGCUUCAAAAGCUUCAUUCACAGAGCUCUAGCUUCAAAAGCUUCAUUUACAAAAGCUCUAGCUUCAAAAGCUUCAUUCACAGAGCUCUAGCUUCAAAAGCUUCAUUUACAAAAGCUCUAGCUUUAAAAGCUUCAUUUACAGAGUUCUAGCUUCAAAAGCUUCAUUUACAAAAGCUCUAACUUCAAAAGCUUCACUUACAGAGCUCUAGCUUCAAAAGCUUCAUUUACAAAAGCUCUAGCUUCAAAAGCUUCAUUCACAAAGUUAUAGCUUCAAAAGCUUCAUUUACAAAAACUCUAGCUUCAAAAGCUUCACUUACAGAGCUCUAGUUUUAAAAGCUUCAUUUUCAAAAGCUCCAGCUUCAAAGCUUCACUUGCAAAGUUUCACCUAUAAAGCUUCGGUGCAGGGUGUUUAUACCAUAUUUAGGGCCUCGUAUUUAGAUCUCGUACAAAUACUCGGGGGGCUUAAAUGUAAUUAUGUGAUAAAGGAAGGGGUAAAUAUGUAAUCAGUGAGGAGUCCUUACUCUAUAAAAGGACCCCUCACCCUCACAAUUGAGGAGGCCAAUUCCUAGGCCCUCUCACCCCCUCUCAACGCUCUCACUCCCAGAGCUCUCUCUCCCUCAAAUAAAUACAAUCAGUGUGGACGUAGCCCAAACCUUGGGGUGAACCACGAUACAUCUUGUGUUAUUUACAUUACUUGCAGAUUCAUGAUCGGAUUUACGUUAUUCCAAGACCUCCAAUUUUGUGCAUCAACAUUUGGUGCCGUCUGUGGGAAUCGACACAAAAAGUUAUGUCGGUUCUCUUUCAUCUUUUUCAUCUCACCACUGUCCAUCGUGGAUCGGCAAAAAUCCAUACAGAGACACAUCCACGGAGAUAAUAGACGAGAAGAAGCUGCAAAGCCACCACGUUCUUAAUAGCCAAGGGAACUUGAUUAACUUACCAUCUGCAGAUUGCCCAUUUCCAACACGUGUCAACUGAUGAAAUUGCCCAUUUCCAUGUCCUUGGACUCUCACAUAGAGAGGGCCCUCUGGACUCCGGACCAAAAUCCUCCACUCGUGUUUUCGAUCUCGCCGCCCAGAUCUCCGCUGACCUCUCCCCCUUCUCUGAACCCCCUGCCCUCGUAGAUGUCGCCAACAACACCUUUCUCUUCCUCGCCGACUUGGCCCAUCAAAUCCCCAUUUUCGUCACUGUCGACUUCAUCCGUGCCAAAUCUCACGGCUCCGGGACCCUGUCCAGUGGCUCCCCCAUGAUUUCCUUCGACUUGAAGCUCAAGAGAUGGAUCUCGACGUUCCUGGAGCACGGGACCGUCGACGACCUCCUGGUCCUGUCACUCACCUACGGCGGUGAAAUGAUCUUCGACUUGGAGAGCAUGAGGAAGAUUAUCUCUGGGUUCGUGGAGAAAGAGAAGAGUGUCGUUGUCUGCAACACCGAUGAUUUCAGGGAAGUUUGCUUGGUGGCAAUGACUAGGUCCUAGGUUUCGCGUCGGAAGUUCCGAAGAGAAGGAUAAGAGCCUUUGAGGAAGGCGGAGCUGGAAUCAGCGGUGGCGUGAACAGAGGAGCUGUGGUGAGGAAUGACUCUGGUAUUCGAGCCUCUCUCUGAGGACUCACACAGUGACUCACUUGGAUUUCUUAAAGAAACUCGAACGCUCCAACCCUCUGGAACCUUUUUCUGGGAAUUUUUUGUUCCUCCUUGGCAACAAUAAGACCCUGAUCACUGUUUCCAAUGACAAGGAUCUUCAUCGCAUGAUCAAGUUCCACGGUAAUUUUGCAACCAUUGAUGUUUAUAUCAUGGAAGAAGUAGCUCCUCCUGAUGUCUCGAGCAUGCCUACCAGUAAGUAGUUCUCUUAAUAUGUCAAGCAGGACAACUCUAUCAGAAACUGUGGUCCCAGUUGAUGCAUCUCUUGAUGUUGUGGACUUUAUGGGUGAUACCACCCAGCCUGAUAUCCCACUCAAUGCCUCGCUUGACGUUAUCAAUGAUGCCAGCCCUAUUGAUGCACAUACUGAUAUACCCACUGAAAUAUCACUCGUUUUUCCUCUUGUUAGCCCCAAUGAUGAGAAGCAUGCUAAAGGUGCACAGCAGUGGCAGAAUGCAAUUACGGGUGUGGGCCAAAUAUCCAGCAGCGUUCAUGAAUUUCGUGAAUCGUUGCGUAAAUAUGCCAUUGCGCGUCAGUUCGCCUUUAGGUAUAAGAAGAAUGAUAGUCAUCGUGUGACUGUCAAGUGUAAGGCUGAAGGCUGCCCUUGGAGAAUUCACGCAUCAAGGUUGUCGACAACUCCACCAGCGUGCUCCGGACGCACCAACUCCAGUAGCAUCAUGUUUUCCAAGGCAACAGUUGGCUGCUCCGACGUAGAGACUUCCCACUCCACCUGUCCCAGACUUUCCACCACAUGCCAUGUACCAAGUUGAACCUCCAGGCAUUGCUUCUUCCACCCCUCCACUGCUUUUGUCGGCAAAAGCAGAAAUGGAAACAGAGAACUUGAGUGCCAUUUACACCCUGCAAAGUAAAAGCAAAAGUAAAACAGAAAAAUGAGAGAAUGAGCGAGCAGAGCACAUGGGUCAUGCACUUUCUUAAACAGAAAAAUCAGAGGAGAAGCGAGGAGAGCACAUGGGUCAUGCACUUUCUUACUCACCAUGUGGAGGCAAAAUCUAGUCGGUUUGGCAAUAAACCUUGAAAAGAGGGAAAGUCUUCUCGACAGAAAAAUUAGAGAAUGAGCGAGGAGAUCACGUGGGAAACAAAAAAACAAAAGCAAUAAAAGUGCAGAGGAAAGGCAAAAGCAAUCAAGUGAGCUGCGGGAAACAAAAGCAAAAGCAAGGAAUAAACACCCACACUGCAAAAGCAAGGUAUAAACACCCCACCAGAAUGAUGUGAUUUGCUUUCCUUAUUUUUGAAAGAUGUAAUUUGUUUUUCGUAUCUUUUGAAGAUAUCUAUAUAACUCCAUCAGAGGGUGUAAAAAAUUUUUUUUUUAAAAAUGGCAAAGCCCAAAAUAAAUGGCCUGGAAUGUUGUGUAGAGGGCGAAUGCCUAUAAGCCCAAAAUAGCUUCAACCAGGCGAUCAAAAGUACCCCUAGUACUCCACAAUUAUUCGGCAACCCGGCACUUUUAUCGCCAACCAAGUGACCAAAAGUACGCAUCGGCAACCUGCCUCUAUUAUCACCAACCAGGUGACCAAAAGUACACCUAGUACUCCAAAAUUAUUCGGUAACCUGCCGCUAUUACCACCAACCAGGUGGUGAAAUGUACAACCCGUACUCUAAUAUCAUUUGGCAACUAGCCAUUCAUGUCACCAACCAGGUGAUCAAAAGUACGCCCAGUACUCCAAAUUAUACAUGAGCAUUACUCAUGUCAUUCAUACAUAAACAUUCAUGAGCAUCACUCAUGACAAUCAUACAUAAACAUUCAUGACCAUCAUUCAUGUCAACAUUCAUGAGCAUCACUCAUGUUAACAUUCAUGAGCAUCACUCAUGACAACAUUCAUGAGCAUCACUCAUGUCAAUCAACAUAAACAUUCAUGAGCAUCACUCAUGUCAAUCAGCUUCAAAAGCUUCAUUUACAGAGAUCUAGCUUCAAAAGCUUCAUUUACAGAGCUCUAGCUUCAAAAGCUUCAUUUACAAAAGCUCCAGCUUCGAAAGCUUCAUUUACAGAGCUCUAACUUCAAAGCUUCACUUGCAAAGCUUCACCUACAAAGCUUCAGUGUAGGGUAUACAAAUACCGCCUUCGAACAACCGCCACUUCGGCCCAUACAUGGAUUCAAUUUGAAGUCUCCAGCCAACAUACUCUAUUGAUCAAAGACUUAGGGGACUUCAUUAUGUACCAUAUAUUAGGUCUCAACUGGGCCUCAUGAAAAAUACUUGGGGGACUUAGCCCAUUAUUUAUGUAUUAAGGAGCGAGCCCUUAUUCUAUAAAAGGGACUCCCUUACCUUCAUUAAAGAGCAACGCCGCCAGCUGAGCAACCGCCUCGCCGCGAGCAUCACUCCUAACCCAUCACUUAUGUAUUGAGGAGCGAGCCCUUAUUCUAUAAAAGGGACUCCCUCACCAUCAUUAGAGAGCAUCGCCGCCUAUUGAGCAACUGCCUCGCCGCGAGCAUCAACUCUAGCCCAUCAUUUAUGUAUUGAGGAGCGAGCCCUUAUUCUAUAAAAGGGACACCCUCACCUUCAAGUGCCACAAGCCGAGCCAACCAAGGCAACAUAAACCACAAGCCGAGCAGCUUUGCAACAUGUGCUACUUAUAGUUGAGCAUAAUUUCACUUUGAGCACCGCCUCAUGUCGAGCAUCAGUUCAAGACAACAUCUAGUUACUUCAACCCACACAUUGACUGAAUUUCAAGUCUCCAGCUAAAAGACUCUCUUGACUGAAGACUUGGGGGACUACUGUUUAUACCAUAUUUAGGGCCUCAUAUUUAGAUCUCGUACAAAUACUCGGGGGCUUAAAUGUAAUUAUGUGAUAAAGGAAGGGGCAAUUAUGUAAUAAGUGAUGAGUCCUUAUUCUAUAAAAGGACCCCUCACCCUCACAAUUGAGGAGGCCGAUUCCUAGGCCCUCUCACCCCUUCUACUCUCAGAGCUCUCUCUCCCUCAAAUAAAUACAAUCAGUGUGGACGUAGCCCAAACCUUGGGGUGAACCACGAUACAUCUUGUGUUAUUUACAUUACUUGCAGAUUCACGGUCGGAUUUACAUUGUUCCAAGACUUCCAGUUUUAUGCAUUAACACAGGGUAUACAAAUACCGCCUCUGAACAACCACCACUUCGGCCCAUACAUGGAUUCAAUUUGAAGUCUCCAGCCAACAAACUCUAUUGACCGAAGACUUGGGGGACUACACUAUACACCAUAUAUUGGGCCUCAACUGGGCCUCAUGAAAAAUACUUGGGGGACUUAGCCUAUUCUUUAUGUAUUGAGAAGCGAGCCCUUAUUCUAUAAAAGGGACUCCCUCACUUUCAUUAGAGAGCAUCCAUUAUUCAUGUACUAAGGAGCGAUCCCUUAUUUUAUAAAAAAGACUCCCUCACCAUCAUUAGAGAGUAUUGCCGCCAGCUGAGUAACCGCCUCGCCGCGAGCAUCACUCCUAACCCAUCACUUAUGUAUUGAGGAGCGAGCCCUUAUUCUAUAAAAGGGAAUCCCUCACCAUCAUUAGAGAGCAUCAACUCUAGCCUAUCAUUUAUGUAUUGAGGAGCGAGCCCUUAUUCUAUAAAAGGGACCCCCUCACCAUCAACGCCAUAAGCCAAGCUAACCAAGGCAACAUAAGCCACAAGCAGAGUAGCCUCGCAACAUGUGCUACUUCUAGAUGAGCAUUAUUUCACUUUGAGCACCGCCUCAUAUCAAGUAUCAGUUCAAGACGACAUCUAGUUACUUCAGCCCACACAUAGACUGAAUUUCAAGUCUCUAGCCAAAAGACUCUCUUGACUGAAGACUUGGGGGACUACUGUUUAUACCACACUUAGGGCCUUCGUAUUUAGAUCUCAUACAAAUACUCAGAUACUUAAAUGUAAUUAUGUAAUAAAUGAAUGGGCAAAUAUGUAAUAAGUGAGGAGCCUUUAUUCUAUAAAAUGACUCAUCACCCUCACAAUUGGGAGAAGCCAACUCUUAGGCCUGAAGCCCCCUCACCCUCUCACAUCCUCUCUCACAUUACAGAGGUUCUCUCCCUCACAAUCCUCUCAGAGAAAUACAAUAAUCAGUAUAGACGUAGCCCAAACCUUAGGGUGAAUCAUGAUACAUCUUUUGUUAUUUACAUUACUUGCAGAUUCACAGUCGGAUUUACGUUGUCCCAAGACCUCCGGUUUUGUGCAUCAACACUAUAAACUCAGAUUCCAUAGUGGAGUGUGAUAUAACAGUUUGUUUCUUUGAUAUCCAAGAAACAGCACAUCCCCCAAUAGUGAAUAUCCAUCAUGUUAUGGAUUUAUUAUCGCUUGCGUUAGUGAGCCAACUAGCAUCUGAGUACCUUUCUAGUACCGCUAGAAAUCUUGAAUAAAAUAGACCCAAAUUAGUAGUCUUUUUAAGAUAACCAAAAGCUCUACAAAUUGCUUUCCAAUGUAAUGUGCUAGGGUUGCUAGUGUAUCUUGAAAGCUUACAAACAGCAAAUGCUAUAUCUGGCCUUGUAUUAUGUGAAGCAUACGUCAAUCCUCCAAUUACACUAGCAUACUCAAGUUGUGCAACUGAUCUGCCAGCAUGUUGAUCUUAGAGUCAUAAGGGGUUGGUACUUUUUUUAUUCAAACGCUUAUACUUCUAUAAUAAUUUUUCAACAUAGUGUGACUGGCAUAAUGCAAAACCCCCAUCAUGUCUCCUUACUUUUAUCCCUAAGAUAGUAUCCACUUCAUUCAAAUCUUUCAUUUUGAAAUUUGAAUUUAGAUACUUCUUAGUUUCGGAUAUAGCUUUCAUGUUGGUCCCAAAUAUUAGUAAAUCAUUUACAUAUAAGCAUAUGACAACACCAUAUUCAUCAGUGAAUUUCGAAUAAAUACACUUAUCGGCAUUAUUAUGUCUAAAACCAUUUGACAAAAUGACAAAUCAAAUUUUUCAUGCCAUUGUUUUGGCACUUGUUUUAGACCAUAUAGUGAUUUCACUAAUUUACAAACCUUAUUUUCAUUACCGGGAAGAACAAAUCCUUAUGGCUGCUCCAUAUAUAUCUCUUCAUCCAAAUCCCCGUUUAGAAAGGUUGUUUUCACGUCCAUUUGAUGUACAUAUAGGUUAUAUACGAAUGCCAAAGUAAACAACACUCUAGUGGAAGUGAUUCUUGCAACUGGUGCAUAGGUGUCAAAGUAGUCAACUUCCUUUUUCUGUCUAAAACUUUUGGCUACCAAUCAGGCUUUGAAGGUUUGCAGAGAACCAUCAGUAUUAUAUUUCCUUCUAAACACCCAAUUACAACCAAUUGGUUUUGAUCCAUGGUAAGUCAAACAAAGUCCAAGUUUGUUGGAUAACAAUGAGUUCAUCUCAUUAUCUACAGCUUCUUUCCAAAAAGCAACAUCUCUAGAAGUCAUUGCUCUUUUAAAGUUACAGGAUCUCCUUCUACAUUUAAAAUGAAGGGUAUUUUAUGUAGAACCUUUUCUCUGUUUCCUUCCACCAAAAAUAAAAUGGCUUCUGAAGAUAUAAAAUCAUGACCUAAAUUCUUUUCUUUUAUGACCCUUUGACUUUUCCUACGUUCUAGAACAUCUUCUAGUUCCUUUCUCUUUUUGGUGCCGGAAAUUGAACUGGGAUUUUUUUUCGACACUGAUUGUUGAUUAUGUUCUUCAACUGAACUAGGACUAGGGUCAUUAUAGAAUUUAUCCUCAAAGAACUUUACAUCUCUUGACUCAACAAUGAUAUUUGAGUUCACAUCAAGCAAUCUGUAUGCUUUAGAGUUCUGGGCAUAUCUUGCAAAAAUACUUUUUAUGCCUUUAGGACCUAAUUUGGACCUUUUAGGGUCGUGAUACCUAUAAAAUGACAAACACCCCCAAACUCUUAAAUAAUCCAAAUUUGGCAUUCUGCCCUUCCAUACUUCAUAUGGUGACACAUGAGUUUUCUUAGAGAUAAUUUUAUUUUGUAUAUGGCAUGCUGCAAAAAGAGCUUCACCCCCAUAAAUAGGUAGGAACAUUUGCACUUAUGAUCAUUGAAUUAAUCAUAUUAGUGAGUGUCCUAUUCUUUCUUUCUGCUAAGCCAUUUUGUUGUGGAAUGUAAGGUAGGGCUGGGUUCGGUUUGAAACGGUUCGGUUUUUUGCCAAAACCGAAACCGAACCGAAUUUUCGGUUCAGUUCGGUUCGGUUCAAAAAAAUUUCGGUUUUUUUCGGUUCGGUUUUUUUCGGUUUUGAUUUUUUUCGGCUCGGUUUCGGUUUAUUUUCGGUUUAUUUCCAUGAUUUUUUUUUAAUCUGGAAGAAAUCUGCAACAAUUGAGCAAUGGAGAUGCAGAAACUUCUGCAUCAAAUGAAUACAAACUGGGACGAUCGGCCAUGGAUCUGACAUUAUUGGGUGUCGGUGCGUAUUUCUUGUUGUGGAUCUGAGAGCUCUCGCAGAGAAAAUGCAUGCAUGUGUUAAAUCUUUUGAUUUUUCCAUGAAAAUAAACCCAAUAGAACUAAAUAGCAACCAUGAGAGUUUCUUACCUUGGGGGUUUAUUUUUAGUCCCAAAGCUCUCGCCAGCCAUGGAACACUUAUGCAUCUGCUACCAAAUUGGAAGAUUAAAAGAAAAACUUAUGCAUCUACUGCCAACAUGCAAAACCCCAACAAAAUAAUUAAAAGAAAAAACCCCAAAAACACACAGAAACAACAACAAAAUAAUUAAAAAGAAAUCUGCAACAACAACAAAAUAAUUAAAAGGAAAUCUGCAACAACAACAAAAUAAUUAAAAGGAAAUCUGCAACAACAAUCAUGGUUUGGAAGAAAGAAUCCGCGAGGAGGACAGGAGAAUAUUGGAGAGAGUGAUUUGGAGGAAGAGAUGAAGAGGAGAGAGAGAGAGAGAGAGAUAGAGGAAGCAAAGGCAGAGACUCAGGAUGAGCGGAGGGAGAGAGAGAGUUUGAGAAAAUGUGAAAACUGAAAUGGGAAUGUGAAUGACGGCUAGGGUUUGUAAGUUAAGAAAUUUUAUAAAGUGUUAACUAUUAGAAACCUAUAAAUCAAUUACCGGUACAAUUAUAACAAACCAAAGCUAACAGUCAAGUUGGCUUGAAACGAUUACCCAACCUGAGGUCAGGGGUUCAAACCCUGAUGCCAACAUAUUUUUUUAUUUUUUAUAUAUGAUUUUUUUUUUUCGGUUCGGUUCGGUCCGGUUCGGUUUCCGGACCUCAAAAACCGAAACCGAACUGGCCAUAUUCGGUUCGGUUCGGUUUUGGCAGUUUCGGUUCGGUUUUUUUUCGGUUUGGUUUUUUUCGGCUUCGGUUCGGUGCGGUUUUCGGUUUUUUUCGGUUUUCGGUUUUUUGAACCCACCCCUAAUGUAAGGUGCAGUUUUCUGAUGAAUGAUUCCAUGUUCUUCACAAAACAAAGAGAAUUCAUUUGAAAAAUAUUCACCACCUCUAUCACUCCUAAAUAUUUUAAUUGUCCUUUCCUUUUGGUUUUCAACCUCAGCCUUAUAUCGUUUGAAAAAAAACUCAAAGGCUUCAUCUUUAUUAGACAUUAAAUAAACAUAAGUAAAUCUAGAACAAUCAUCAAUGAAAGUAAUAAAAUAGUGUUUUCCUCCUCUAGUUAAAACACUAUUAAACUCACAUAUAUUAGGAUGAACUAAAUCUAAUAUUUCAGUAUUUCUUUCUACUUUUUGAAAAGGUUUCUUUGUAAUUUUAGCUUGUGUGCAGAUUUCACAAUUUUUAAAUGUAACAUCUUUACAAGAAAUUAAACCAUGUUUAGACAAAUAUUUUUAAGAUCUAUAAUUUAAAUAUUCUAAACGAGAAUGUCAUAAAGUAGAAGAAGAACCAACAAUAUAAACAGAAGAAUUCACUUUAUUGAUACUGAGUUUGAACAUUCCAUCAAAUGAAUAACCCUUACCAACAAAUACACCAUUCUUUGACAGUAUAAAUUUAUCGGCUUCCAACAUCACUUUAAUACCACUUUUACACAGUAAAUUUGCAGAUACAAGAUUUUUCUUAAUGUUUGGGACAUGAAAAACAUUUGUCAAAGUUAUUGUUUUUCCAUAAGUGAAUUCUAGUUCAACAACCCCUUUUCUAAGAACCUUAGCACCAUUGUGAAUUUGUGAUUGCCCAUUAGUACUUCUUGACCAUCCUCUUCAGUUUUGUAGAUCUUGAAUUGUGCUCUAUCAUUGCAAACAUGUAUGGUAGCACCAAAAUCAAGCCACCAUUCAAAAGAUUUAACAGCUGCAGCCAUGUUCAAUUCAGUGAUCAUGCCAAUUUGCAUUUCAAACACCAUAGCAAUUAUAUCUUCAGUAUGAGCUUCCUUUACCAUAUUUGCUUUAUUUAAUUUGGCGUCCUCAUUUUUCUUGAACCUGCAAUCACGAAUAAAGUGUCCUUUCUUUCCACAAUGGUCGCAAGUUGCAUUUUUCUUGCCAUUGUUGGUGCCAAAAGAUGUCUUUUUGAACUUUCCUAGGUUAUUUGCUUUCAAGUUCUUUUUGAACUUACUCUUGCUCCCUUCAAUAUAAUUAAUCUUAGUGAAGUCUUGUGAGAAAAAAUCUUUUUCUCGUUUCCGGGUUUCCUCUUCAAUUUGGAUCCUCUUCAAGAGAUAUUGGAGACUUAAAUAUUCUGCCAUAUGCAAAAGCUUAUUUCUAUAAUUGUUCCAACUAUGGGGUAAUUUUGACAUGAUAGCCCCUACUUGUAAUGCACCCGGAACAAUUAUUUUGACUUCACAAAGCUUUGUGACCAAAAGUAAUAAAUCUUGAACUUGAUCCACAAUGGAUUUGCCAUCAGUCAUUGUGAAUUCAUAGAACUUAAACAUGAUAAAUUUAUCAGUACUUUUUUUCUCCAAUGUUUAUUUCUCUUCAAGAGCAUUCCAGAUUUCCCUUCGAAAUUGAGUUGUGGAAAAUAAACUGUAGAGCCAAUCCGACAAAGUUUUCAAGAUAUGUCCUAUGCACAUCAAUUCAUCGUCUUCACGCUUCUUUCUGUUGGCAAUAAUUUGUUCAGUAUCUGCUUCAUUAGGUUCAAGAAUUGGCUGCAGAUUUGGAUCAAGAACAUAGGCAAUUUUCAGGGCCGUCAGCAUCCAGCGUAUUUUGUCUUUCCAGCGCAUGAAAUUGGUUCCAUCGAACUUGUCGAGUUUCCAGAAAGCACCGUUGUUCAUUGCAGAUAAAGCCAUAGUUUCGGACAUUUUCUCCAUUGCGAAUAUCACUUUAAGAUUGUAAGAAUAAGGUUGAGAAUUACACAGAAAAAUGACUUUGAGGCACGUAAAUACGUUUUUCUUAAAGUGAUAUUUGCCCCCACUCUAAUAUGAGUUUGCUAAUGGGUCUAAAGCAAAUCACUUCCAGGAUACAACAAAGUUUGGAAUUUUGGUUUAGCAAGAACUGAAAUUCCCUUAAAAUCUUCUAAAAGAAAACUGUAUGAUUUUGAUGGAGAGAAAGAUGAUAAGAAAAUAUUGUUUGAAGAAUUGUAUAUCCAAAUAUGCAACCAACAUAGGCUAUUUAUAGAUAUUAUGGAACCCUUUGAAGAUGGAUCAAAGUGUGCAUAUAAAAAGUCAUGUUCUUUCUUGCAUCAUUAUCACCGAAUGGAUGCAUCUUUUAAUCAAAGUCACACCCUACUGCAUCCUUUCAUUUUCUGAAAAGAUGCAAUCACAUUGCUAGUGACACGAAACUACAAGAAGUCAUAACUUUCUGAUUUCAUAGCAAGGGACAUAUCCCUUAGUUGUACUUCUUCAAUCCAAGAGACAUGGAACUGCAACCAUGCUUCUUCAAUUGAAAAGACACGUCACUGCAGCCAUACUUCUUCAAUACAAGAAAUAAGAGAAUGCAGCCAAUCUCUCACGCAACAUCAUGUGUGUGUGUGUGUAUAUAUAUAUAUAGAUAUAUAUAUAGAUAUAUAUAUAUAUAUAUAUGUAUUAUAUGUAUUAAUAGUUGAAUAUCAGUAUAUAUAUAUAUAUGUAUUAUAUGUAUUAAUAGUUGAAUAUCAGAGUACGUAACGAACAAGACUACAAAAUAAUAAGAAUAUUAUUAAACUAACGAAAAUGCCGGAACGGCUACAAAACCCUAGAAGGCUACAUUGUAACUAACUUGUUUUCUAAUGAAUAACAAAGCACUCUAUUUGUAAUAAACUAACCCUAACCCUAACCCUAACAGGUUAGGCCCAAACCAAACUUAUAAGAAAACCCAAAAUAUAAUACCUAAAAUACUAAUAUAGUCCAACAUUAAUGAAAUACACCAACAAUAUAUGCGUGAAUGAAUUUAGUUUCGGAUCAUUAAAUGAGUUUGAGUUUGAGUUUGGUUUGUUUAGAUGUACCUGGGUGAAAUUACAAUUCACCAUUAACACAAGUGUUGAUGCAAUCAUCAUCAUCAAUUUAUCAUAUAUGGAAAUUGGGGGCUUAUUAAUACAUGUUCCAUUGUGCAUGCUUCAUAAAAUAUCAGAGACCAGGCUUAGUUAUUAUUUUCUCGUUCAAAGGUGUAAACCUUGCAAGGACCUGCAUGUCUAACAAUAUAGUGGGAUCAUGACUGAUAAUCAUAAGUACAUACAGAGAUAUCUUCUAAGUUCUAUGAGAAUAUAGAAAUCUCAAUGUAUAAAUCACGGGCUUCUCCUCUAAUAAUCCACUGGUUUUUUUAUUGCAUUCUCUAACUCUGACAAGGUGUGUGAGUGGGACAAUUUAUCCAUCUGUAUGGCUCAGACCAGCCACACAUGAGGUUUGAAAAUACAAAACUCUUAAUUCGUGUAUCUCAACAUAUACAGUCUUGGGCCUCUCCACUAGUAGCUAUUUGGUUUUAUAUUGGAUGGUUCAACUUUAACACAGUGCAAUUUAAAUUGGUCACCUUCGUACACACUAUAGAUACUAUGCUGUUUUGCUUAUUGGUUUGGGCAUAAGGAUAAGGGACAAAAUCAGUCCUCUAAUUAAUCAAACAACAGUGUACUAGGAUAUGUACUUAAGGUUUUAGGGUUUAGGUUUACAAGUUUGGAAUUCAUUAUUGUUGAGAUGGAAUAUUGGAAAUUAUAUAUUAUAAUACAAAAAUAUUGUAAUAUAUAAUUUUAAUAAUUGAAUGAAAAAUAGUGUUAACCAUAUUUCUUAGAAAAAUGUUAUGUUAUUCAGGUGCAUUCCCUUGUCAAAUAAUGUAUACUUAUAGGUGAAAAGUUACUCUCUUUAACAAGAAGUACUUGAGUUCUAUAUAAACUCAUGAAACCAUUAUUAUUAAUAUAUACAAAAUUAGAGUUAAUUUUUACUCUUGAGAAAUAGGGUUUUCCCACUCUAUUUCUCUCAUUCUUCGUUUGUCAAAUUCCAAGUCGUACAUUGAGAAUACGGAAUAUAUAAAGUUUGCCAGAGUCCGAAGAUUGAAGUGUUUUUUACUUCGGAUUAAAGAUUGUUGAAUCCUAUGAGACAAACGCCUACCGAACUACAAGCACACAAGAGUAGGGGCGAAGUUCUGUUUUUAGGACAUUGCAUUUAUGCAAGCCUCAAUCUCCAAAUUUGUCAGUUUUUCUAACUUUCUCUCUAGUUGUUGAUAUUAAUUUUGUACACAUGUGAUGUUGUGAAUUUCUUUACUAUUAUUAUUAUUGGAAUUAUUUUAUAUUUCUCAAAUUUUCUAAUAUUGCUCCAACAUGAAAUAAUGCAUUUUUCUGCAUAUGUAUGGACCCUUUUUAUUAUAAACAUUUAAAAGGUUUUGGCUGAGCUACAAAAUACUGUCUCUAAUCCCUGAUUAACAGAACAUGAAAAGUUCCAAGGAAAAUUCAUGGUCGAAAUUUCUAUAAACUGAAAAGAAAAAAAAAAGAGGCAUACAGCGGUUAUUUAAUUAUUUUCCUACAUCUACCAGUGGACAAUUGAUUUUCUAGUUUUUUUCUUUUUGUCAAAUCUUACAUCUCGUUGAAACUGAUUAAGUUUCACUCUUUAGAUUAAUGGGUUUGUACAGAGUGAAGCUUCCAAGAACUGCACAAAUAAUUCAUAGGAACAUUGGUGUAUCUCAAGGUCCUACUGUGAAAUCCCUUCUGGAGGUGGAAGCUAACAAAAGUGUACUGUAUCGCAGGUGAAUGUCAUGCUUAAACCCGUGACAUGUACUGGGAUGAGAAACCAGGUUGGAGACCUAUCCCUCCUCAAACCCGUGAGGACGAUCACCCACCACCGUAAGAGAAACCGAGCGAUACGUGUACGUGUAUCUGUCAAAGGAAAUACAAAGACGAGGAGUAUGGGAAAGUAUCUGACAAACGAAUUAGUUCCUAACUUACCUACAUGAAUAGAAACGAAGAGGACUGCAUCCAUGUUUGUACACGGAGGAGAGGCUGUACCGAAUACCGAUCCAUAUUAAGACUGGGAGAAAUAGUCUUGUGUAUUAUAAAGAAAUCUUUUUCAGGUGUAUCAUUCAUAAUCUUCAUAUGUAGCUCCAAUAAAAGAAAUGGAAAACUUUAUAUUAAGAAUCGGUGCCUGCAACUGGCACUGAUUACAUUGGAGUUGCAUAGUACCAACGAUUCGGACUUAUUACAUUGAGGCUACACGUCACUUAGAUGCGAAAUUUAGUAUGAUCAAGUUAACAUUUGAUUUCUAUCCUCCCACAUUUUCCUUUCACUAUGUCUUCUCGAAACUCAAACAUCUUGCAUUGGCAUCACCCUCAAAUGCUCGGCCUCACGUUAAGACGAGAUGCCAGUUUUUGACCAAAAGAUCGGUCAGCCUGCAUUUCAAUUACCACCGGCACACAUCAUAUUCGAGUAAAAAGUCACAUCCAAUUAUACCAAUUCACAAAUGCGAAUACUUUGCAUGUAUGCACUCACCUGAGACCAGUAUGAGAUCCAAAUGCUGCGAAUUUCAUAGGUGACACGAGGAUCGGAUAGGGCAUCAACCCAUCGGUGGAGGAAUCGCUCUUGCCUGCAAUGAACAUUUAGAUUAUGAACAUGACGUUUAAAACUUUAAAUACAUUUAUUUCCGCAUAGAGACAUCCUAGGGUUGGCAGCUACCUGUCGGGUGCCCAAGAUCUGUAUCUCUCUCCAGGUUGCUUGAAGUUGUUCUCCUUCUCAAUGACGCACUGCAUAUCCAACAAAACCACCAUACACAAAUUAAACGCAAAGUUGCUACAUGAAUCAUGAUGUGCAGCACACCAAAAGGAUUCAGAAAUGCAACAAGCAUUCAUGCAUGUAUCUAACUUUUUACAUUCCAAGUGCUUUCAAGUUUCAGGUAAAAAGAAAAACACAGAAAACAAGAACAUGGGAAAACCAAGGGAAAUUUAAAUGAAUUCUUCUACAUUGAUACAAACUGACCUUCUCACGCUUUCCAGUGCAAAUAUUAGAAGGAAUUGGGAAGGUCUCAGCAUGGCGAACAGGAUCAUACCUUGAUGGGAAGUAGUUAACCUACAGAAAACAGAAUGGCAUCUGAGCAGAGAAAACUUUGAUGAACAAACAAGUGAAAAUUUAAGCACAUGUCUGAAUCUUUAGCAACGCAAGUGUAAAAAGGCUACAAGGCAGUCAAUAAGUGUCAGCAAUUGAGGGAAAAAGUGGUAUCGUACUUGGAAAAGAAAUUCAAAAGAGCAAAAGUACCUCCUCAUCUCUGUGCAUGAAAUUCAUAAACCCUUCAUGGUGAUUGUUGUGAUGAGAACACUUGGGAGCAUUAACUGGGAGCUGCAGAUAGUUCGGGCCAAGACGGUGCCUCUGAGUAUCAGAAUAGGAGAAGAUUCGAGUUUGGAGCAACUUAUCAUCUGAAUAAUAGACACCAGGGACAACAAUGGCAGGGCAGAAAGCUAGUUGUUCAUUCUCUGCAAAGAAGUUAUCAAUGUUCUUAUUCAGUACCAAACGUCCAACUGGCUGCAGGGGAAGAAUAUCUUCAGGCCAGGUCUUAGUAACAUCAAGUGGGUCAAAGUCAAAUCUGUCUUCAUGAUCAGGAUCAAUUGUCUGAAUAAAAAGUUUCCACUCCGGGUAGUUGCCAGCUGCGAUGGAGUCAUAGAGAUCCUGGGUAGCGUGGCUGUGAUUUGCUCCUCCAACCUUGAUAGCCUCAUCCUCCAACAAACACUUGACUCCACAAGUGGGUUUCCAAUGAAAUUUCACGUAGUGUGCCUUCCCGGUCUUACUGAUAAGAGUAUAGGUGUUAACACCAGACCCUUCCAUGUGCCUGUAAUCUUGUGGAACUCCCAGGUCAUCCAAUAGGAAGGUGAACAUGUGCAGGCUUUCUGGAUGGUGGGAGAAGAAGUCAAGGAUCCUCCAAUUCUCUUGGAUGUGGGACUUAGGGUUCGGUUUGAGAGCAUGGACCAUGUCCGGGAAUUUCAUUCCAUCACGGACAAAAAAGACGGGGAAAUUGUUUCCCACCAAGUCAAAAUUACCCUGUUUAAGAAAAAUAAAGUCACGGCAUGAGUAAAGAAAGGAAUGCAUGUAUAAACAAGCAAAAACAUUAGGACCAAAUGAUUUCCAAGAGUUAGUUAAUAAUAAUGUUACAAAGAAAUCAACAAUCUGUAGAAUCAAAACAAUAUUUAAAAAAGAAAAGAAAAGCAUGAAUGCCAUAUUUCACGGAAGUCACAAGACUACCGGGUUUAGUUAAAUAUGAAGUAUUUGUCACUGGAGCUGUGACUCGAGAUACCACUGCAUAUUUUUAACUAUAAAUAUGCUGUUGAAUAUAAUUAUGAUCAUCGACGUGUCAAAACUCAACCAUCAUUAUCCAGAGGUCAUAAAACAUCAAUAAGCCAUUGAAACGUCACCUCUCUGGUGUAAAACUUCACUGCAAAACCACGAGGAUCCCUCAGGGUUUCAGGGCUGCCACGCUCAUGGAUAACAGUGGAGAAACGCACAAUGACAGGUGUCUGAACUCCAGGGGCUCGAAGGAAGUCAGCACAUGAAAGGUGAGAAAUAUCAUGGGUGACCUCAAAGAAACCUUUUGCACUGGCUCCCCUAGCAUGGACAACACGCUCUGGGAUCCGUUCUCUAUCAAAAUUGGCGAGUUUCUCCACCAGAUGGUAGUCCUCAAGCAGAAUUGGACCUGACAAAUAGACAAAUAAUUAAAUUCUUAACUGCAUCUACUCAACUCGACAUAAUCAACCAUCCUGAUUACAUGCAAAAGAUGUGAUAAAAAUGAAAUUAGCGGCUAUACAUUUUAUAAAGUAUGUCAAAUAUAGAUGACUGCUCUCACUUGCAAAGAUAGUAACUUUUAUUUAGUUUCAGGCAACCAGGCGAUCAAAAAAUCAUCUUGACAACCCAAGAAGCAAUGAAAAAAAGGGACCCGCAGGAAUUCGUUGAAAACCAACAGACUGGGAACUAUAGUUGAGAAAUUUGAACAUAAAUGUCAAAUAGGGAAAAUUCUAACUUCAAAUACAAACUAUAUAAAUAUGCGUGUAUAUAUAUAUAUAUAUGUGUGUGUGCAUAUAUAUCUGAAAAACAACAAGAGUUUCAAAAUAAUAAUCAUCUUCAACUUGGUAGUGAUACAAACGGAGGAGGAUUCUCUCCCCUCUUAAUCUCUCUCUCCUUCCCUCCGCUCCUAUUUGAACGGUCACAGGUCACGGUUAAGCCACGUCAACAUCUUAUAUUGAGUUUUUUUUUAUAGAAACAAUAAGACAAAAAACAAUGUAUGAGAGGAGGGGAGGGAAGGGGAUGAAAAUAAGAGGGGAGAGAAUCCGAUACAAACAUCCAAAAAGUCAUCUUGUAGCUCACAAUAACAUAGACAGAAUAUCCGCGCAUACAAAGAUAACAGCAUCAAAACAUGAUUAUGAUUAUUCGCAAGGUGCUUGAAAAGCGAUGUGCAACUAAAAAAACGCAAAAAAGUAAAACUUGAAGCAAAUUUUACAAUUGAAAAUCCGUCAAAAGCAAAUAAACAAAUAGAUAAAUUAAAGGUGGAUAAAGAAUUAAAUCACCUCUGGGUCCAACAGUGAGAGAAGAGUUGUUGUUCCAAACUGGAGCACCAGAAUUGGUGGUCCAGAACGGGGAAUUGAAAGCACUUGAAGGGCGGUGCUGCAACAACACACAAAAACAAACAAACCCAAAUCCAUUAGAGAGGGCUCUGUUUGGUAGCCGAGAAAAUAAACAAGAAAAGUAAUUCAACAAGAAAAUCAAACUUAAAUAAAUCAAUUAAGAGCAUAAACAAGUAAAAAAGAAAA